CUCUUAGAACCAAACACCAAUUUGACGACCAACAGCUCUGAAAACUCCUGAAAUCUUUACUCCUAGAAAAUCAGAACCAAGGAAAAGUGAGACAGAAACCCAUCAUCUACGAGACUUAUCGAACAAAUCACUAAUCAAAUGGUUCAAGAAGCUUGAUAUAUGCGCCUUCAAGAGGUGAUUAAACUCUGGAGCAACUAUUUACUCCCUCUAGAAUCAUGAGUUAGGGAGCUGAUCACUUUAGCAACAAAACGAAACUCCUGGUGCGUAUUUCAUAUUGAUGGGUAAAUUGUAGGAAAUGCAAACCAAAAAUUAAUUAAUACCAGCUAUAAAAAUCUAAUCUAGUUUCAUCUAGGGGAGAGAACACAAAAAUCUGCUUGUUAAGUGCAGGAGAAAGACGUGCAGCAGAGAAUUGCUGGUUUAAAGUCUCGUAGAAAAGGUUUCUAGAAUUGCUGCAUGUGAUAUCGAAUCUAAAACGUCCAAUGCAUUUUCAACAGGUGAAACUUCAGAGUGAGCAACCAUUGAAAUCACGAGUUUAAAGAGAGUGUGCUGAUGUUAGCAAACACAACGUACAAAGGACAGUAACUGCCAUUAGUGCAUUUCAUCCAAAACAUGAUUCAGUUCACCCAAGAAAAUCUCAUUCAUUUGCCAUGUUCGAUCUAGUACAGAAACAUGGUAUUGAAUUAAGCCUCCAUUUGCCAUGUUUGAUCUUUGCAUCAGCAAAUAAUAUGUGAUAGAACGUGAGCAAUACCAAUUUAACAUUAGAAAUUAACCAAAAAGAUUGUUUAGUUCCAUUAAUUGAUAUGGAGCCGUGCAUGGCUUACUAGUGGAAAAGGUUACGAAAUAUUGUGCUUAUUCAUGAUGAAGAGAUUGAAAUGACUGACUCUGUAUCCAACUUGGCAGACCUAAUCUGUUGUUGCUUCAAUUAUCAGUUGAUAUACUUUCAAGGAAAGAGAGGAUUUUCAAAAGUGAAAGUGGUAAUUAGGAGCCAUCAGGGUUCCCAAGUGAGCUUUAAGCCUACAGUCACUGCAAAACAGAAAACCAGACUCAGGACUUCACAUAGCAAAUCAUGAGGCUAACUGGAAAUUGCAUGACAUUUUUGGUUAGUCAAUUAUUCAGAAAGCCAAAUCAAUAUUUGUUUCUGUUGUGCUUUUCUAACCUAAAUCAGUAGGAAGAUAUCAAAUCUUUCUGCUCAAUCUACAAGUACCAGAAGUGCCAUAGAAACUAUUAGUUUUUGUUCAAAACACUGAAAAAUGAGAAGUUCUAUAACAAUAAUGAUAAUGAGCAGCACCCACAAGCAUGAAAGGUAGAGAGCUCUAGAAUUGCCAUGAAGGCGAACUCUUUGAGACAGCAAGAUGCAACGAGUAGAGCUAAUUAUAACUCUUCGACUCUUAAAAUCUAAAAUCAUGGCAUUUGAACUUAAACUUCAGAAGGGGAUAGUCUACCAAGCCUCUGCUGCUUGAAGGUGGUCUUAAACAUGACAAUUUUUUAAAGGUUUUAAUUAGUGCAUUGGAUAUUGAACUUCUUAAAACCCAAUAUUAAGCAGAGGAAGAAGAUUAUUGGUAUUAUAAAUUAUCUAACAGUCAGAGUCAUCGAUGAGGUUCCCAGUUAAGUUUUGUCCCUAAAAUCACUGCAAAGCACAAAAACUCAAACUCAAGAUGGUGUUCAAAAUAGAAUAAAGCUAAUGGAAAUUUUUAAAUAAUUGCAGGUUUUCUGUCAUUGUGACUAAAGCCCCAAAAGGAGAAACUUACCAUAAAAAAAGAAGCAACCAACAAUCAUAAAAGCAGAGAGAGCUUAAAAGCCUCUAUCAAGAUGGAUUCAUUAAGAUCAGCGAGUCACAACAAGCAGACUUGACUAACUACCAGAAUGCUUCAAAACAUUGCGCUUAGAGUUGAAUGUUGGAAGAUACUCCACCAAGUUUUGUGCAACUUCAUUGCUCAAACAGUACACACCUUCCUUGGCUACCUCAAAAAUAUCUUCAUGACGACAAGAUUUCCUUUGUUUCAUACGUAAUAGAUUAGAUAUUAAAGUGGUUAGAAGUCAAAAUUGAGCAGUGAAAGAAGAGAAGCAUAUCUAAAAUUACCAAAAUUUUUAAACCAAAACAUGAAAGUGAUGACCAACACCUGCGAAAACGCCUCAAUUGACUAUUGUCUUCAUGGCUAAAUAGCCAAAAUCAAGGAAAAGUGAGCCAGAAAACCAUCAUAUAUGACUCUGAUGGAGCAAUUACUAGUCAAAUAGUUCAGAUAAGUAUGCAAGUUCAUUAUCAAGAGGUAAAAGUUCAGCCCCUUUAAAAUCACAAUUUUAAAUAGAGUGAGAUGACUUUAGCAUUAAUAACUUAAAAUCCACAGAAGCAGAUCACGUAAAAUAAACAAAACAAGACUGCUAGUUGUUCGAAACGUUGAUAGGCUAUUUGUAGGAAAUGCAGGCCAAAAGUUAUUGAGGUCUAGCCAUAUAGUUGGUGCUUCAAAAUUCUAACCUCUGUUCGUGAAGCUAUUCUUACAAAAACAAAGCACAGAACAGAAUAUGAACAGAGAUACAGUAAAACAUCAAAACACGAAACAGAACAGGUGCUUGGGGUCAUUCUAAUUGAUAGUUACAUGUAAUGGUACCAGACUUGAGCUAAUUAGGAAUGUUGGCUCUCGGAAUCGAAAUCACAAUCAGAACGCCAAUGAAAUUAAUUCAAACACAAAACGAGCUAAGAAUGGAGCUCAGUAAUGGCUUCUAUUAAUCUGUAAAAGAAUACAGAAAUGGCGGGAACAAUAAGAAGGUGGAAGAGAAUGAAGGAAAUUUUAAGAAGGAAAAAAGCAGAAUGAGAUUUGAUGCUCACUUCUGUUGAAUUACAAGACAAAUUCCUACCUGCUACGUUCCCUUAAUUCCCUAUUUAUAACUAUCAAUCUAUAACUAACAUCUGGUCCUCCAAUCGCAUUUGUCCAAGUGGCCAAGUGGCCAAGUGGCUGUGAAUUUGGUUACACGAAACUGAAAGUUGUUGCAGAACUUCAAUGGCUUCCUUCGCGUGGUUGCAGAGUUGGUUUCCAGUAAAGGCGUGGUCCUUGAUUCACGCCUUGGUUUCUUCCUCUUAGAUCACGCCUUCUUCUUUGCUAUCUUCACGCUUCCUUUUAUUACUUGAUUUACUUGUCAGCUGCUCCAUGACAAUAGUUCCCCCUUCGAUUGAAUCUUGUCCUCAAGAUUGAAACCCAGGAAAUUUUCGUCCUAUCUCCUCUGCAUCUUCCCAAGUGGCUUUAGCAGGUGAAGUUCCCCACCACUGUACCAGCCACUGUACUAUGGCUGCAUUUUUCCUUUUAACCAGCCUCCUGUCUAAAAUAGUUUCAGGUUCGACCCUCAAAUGUCCUAGUUCAUCCGUGUUGGGUAGCUGGAGAACUGGUGUAGCGUUUUGUCCUACCUUCUUCUUGAGCAAUGAGACAUGAAAAGUUGGAUGAAUUCUGGAAUCUGCUGGCAGCUGAAGUCUAUAGGCCACCUUGCCUAUCUUCUCAGCUACCUGAUAAGGCCCGUAAUACUUUGCUGAAAGUUUGGAAUUCUUCCUUACCUCGAUUGAUGUCUGUCUAUAGGGUUGCAACCUCAGAUAAACCCAAUCUCCAACAUUGAAUUCUCUUUCAGUCCUCUUUUGGUCAGCAUAUAUCUUCAUUCUGUUCUGAGCUUCCUGCAGGUUCUUUUUGAGUAAAGCAUCCAUCCGCUGCCUAUCCUUCAAAUGGUCUUCUACUGCAGCCAGCCUGGAGUGUGAAUAUGGCCCCAAGGCUAGUUGUGGUGGUGGGAUUCCAUAUAGUGCCUCGAAGGGGCUCAUAUGAAUGGCAGUGUGGUAAGUGGUGUUAUACCACCAUUCAGCAAGGGAUAGCCAAGCAUUCCAUUUCUUAGGCUCUAGAUGUGUCAUGCACCUCAGGUACAUCUCCAAUACUUGAUUCACUCUCUCCGUUUGACCAUCAGUUUGGGGAUGAUAUGCAGUGCUCAGCUGUAACUCUGUCCCCAGUAGGGUGAACAAUUCUGUCCAAAAUUGACUGGUGAAAAUUCUAUCCCUGUCAGACAACAUGCUCAAAGGCAUUCCAUGCAGCUUGUAGACUUGAUCUAGAAAGAUCCUGGCUACAGUAGGGGCAUCAAAGGGGUGUACCAGACUGAUGAAGUGGGCAUAUUUGGUGAAUCUGUCCACUAUCACCAUGAUAGUAUUCUUCCUUUCUGAGCUGGGCAGUCCUUCAAUGAAGUCCAUGGUAAUAUGGCUCCAAGAGUAGUGAGGAAUAGGGAGGGGUUGUAGUAGGCCAGGGUAUGCUGUACGUUCAUCUUUGCACUUCCUACAAGUAUCACAUUGUAAUACAGUAUCCCUGAUCUCCUUGUACAUUCCAGGCCAGUAAAACAGCUGUUUGGCCCUGUAGUAACUAGCUUGGACUCCAGAAUGUCCUCCUAGCUGGGAGUUGUGCAGGGCAUGGAUGAUCUUUCCUCUAAUUCCCCCCUUGGCCCCUAUGACUAUCCUUCCCUUAUACCUGGCCACCCCAUCCUGGUAAGAAUAUUCUGGUCUGGAACCAGGUGCGAGUAAUAAUUCACUGAUCAGCUUCUGCAUCUGUUCAUCCUCCUGGUAACUGUCCAUCACCUCUUUCAUCCAUUCAGGAGUGAUACAAGUUAGCUCAACAAGUUCACCUUCUUCUGUAUCAGUCCUUCUAGACAAAGCAUCAGCAGCUACAUUCUCCUUGCCCUUUCUGUACUGUAUUUCGUAGCUCAGUCCUAGUAGCUUGGUCAGCCACUUCUGUUGGAGAGGGGUAGUGAUUCUCUGCUCCAGCAAGUAUUUGAGGCUUUGAUGGUCUGUCUUGAUGAUGAAAUGGUGUCCUUCCAAGUAAUGUCUCCACUUGGUGACUGCUGUUACAAGAGCCAGGAGUUCUUUCUCAUAGAUAGAUAAUCCCAAAUUUUUGAGUCCCAAACUCUGACUUAAAUAUGCAAUAGGCCUUCUAUCCUGCAUUAGCACUGCUCCUAAACCUCCAUAGCAAGCAUCAGUUUCUAUAACAAAAGGUUUACUGAAGUCUGGUAAUGCCAAAACAGGAGUGCUACACAUGGCCAUCUUAAGUUUCUGGAAUGCUUCUUCAGCUUCCCCAUCCCAGUGAAAUCCCCCCUUCUUCAGAAGGUUGGUGAGUGGCUUAGCUAUUGAUCCAUAUCCUUUAACAAACUUCCUAUAAUAACCAGUCAGCCCCAAGAACCCUUUCAGCUGCUUGACAUUUCUGGGUUUGGGCCAGUUCACCAUGCUGUCCACCUUCCUUGGGUCAGCCAUUACUCCUUCUGCAGUGAUAAUGUGUCCCAAAUAUUCUAUUUGUGUUUGUGCAAAAGAGCACUUACCUCUGUUAGCAUAUAGCUGAUGUUGUCUAAGGAUGCUCAGUGUCUCCUCCACGUGCCUCAGAUGGUCUUCCAGGGAUGAGCUAUAUACCAGAAUGUCAUCGAAGAACACUAUAAUAUGUCUUCUCAACUGCUCACUGAAAAUCUGGUUCAUUAAACUCUGAAAGGUUGCCGGGGCAUUAGUCAAGCCAAAUGGCAUGACUUUGAAUUCAUAUAACCCCUGGUGAGUCCUGAAGGCAGUCUUAUGCCUAUCCUCCACCCUGACUCGGAUCUGGUGAUAUCCUGACUUUAAGUCAAUUUUUGUGAAGAAUCUGGCUCCUCUCAGCUCAUCCAUCAGUUCAUCAAUCAGGGGCAUUGGAAAUUUGUCCUUCACAGUGAGCUCAUUGAGCUGCCUGUAGUCCACACAGAACCUCCAACUGCCAUCUUUCUUCUUGACUAGUAAUACUGGGGAAGCAAACGAGCUAUUACUGGGUUGGAUUAUUCCCAUCUGCAGCAUUUCUCUCACCAGUUGCUCUAUUUCUGAUUUCUGCACAUAAGGACACCUGUAUGGCCUAAUCUGGAAAGGUUUGGCUCCCUCCUUCAGAGGAAUCCCAUGGUCAUGGCUUCUGGUGGGGGGUAGCCCUUGUGGUUCAGCAAACACAUCCCUGUAUUGCUCCAGUACUCCAUUCACCUCUGCUGGAAUCCCCUGCGAGUCAACCUGCCCUUCCUCCACUAAAUACAGUUGAGCAGUGAUUCCAUAUUCCUGUUUCCUCCUCCAUUUGGCCAGCCUACUCCCUUUGAUAGCCUUGAGUGUGAUCUUCCCAGUUUCUCCCCUUAAUUCUAUCAGCUCCUUCCCUCUGUGGAACCUCAUGUUUAGGCCCCGGAAGUCAAAUUCGAUAGGACUAAAUUUAGCCAACCAGUCCACUCCUAAUACUGCAUCACAGCUCCCUAAUCUUAGAGUAUUAAAGUGAUGUUGAAAUUUAUGUCCCUGGAUCUCCCAUUCUAGUGGCUUAUUGAGCUGUCUGGACCCCAAUCUCUCCCCAUUAGCUACCUUAACCACCAAAGGAGUACCCGUUACCUGCAGUUGCAGAUGAGUAGCUAGCCUUUCAUCCAGGAAGCAGUGUGUGCUUCCGCUAUCUAUCAACAUCAAGACUUCUUUACCCCCUAUAUUGCCUUUCACUUUAAAAGUUUUGUGUUCAGUUCCUCCUGCCAGAGCAUGAAUGGACACUUCUAAGAGCUCCUGACUUACCUCUCCCUCAAGGCAAUCACAAAACUCCUCUACUACCUUUCCCAUUCCCUCAUGGUGAUCAUCCACCCCCCCAGGUUCUUCUACCAAGAUAUACUGCAUCUGAGCUAGUUUGCAAACAUGGCCUAAAGUGUAAGGUUCUGCACAUUUGAAACACAGCCCUUUCUCCCUCCUAUAACUGAAUUCUGAGGGAGUAAUUUUCUUAUACUGGUCUGCUACAUGUCCUCCCGGCCUGUCCCCCUUUUGGAAAACAUUUCCUAUCCUUCUGGAGUUGUCAUUAGUCCAUUUAGGUUUGGUCUGGGAUGGAAAUCCCUGCCCAAUGGUUGGCUGCGGGCUGGAAUAUUUCUGUGUUAUAGGUUUCUGUACUCUUCUGAUGGCCUCCAAAUUUUUCUCCUGUAACUUGGCAACUUCUAUAGUGUCUGUUAAGGUGUGUGGUUUAGCCAUUUUUACCAUAUUCACGAUUUCACUCUUCAGUCCACUCAAAAAACAGGAUUUAUAGUAUGAAUCAGUCUGUCCAGGAAGUAUAGGCAUUACCAGUGAUUUUAGUAGCUCGAAUCUUUCCAGAUAUUCAGCAACACUCCCUGUUUGCGUGAGUUUGUUGAAUUCCUCGAUGGUCUCCUCUGGUGAGCCUCCUCCAAAUCUUCCACAUACUGCCAAGGACAACUCCUCCCAAUCGACAUAUUCCCUACCAUGGUACCUCCCAUGGAACCAGAUGUCCGCCUUAUCUCUGAAGUGAAGUUGAGCCAAGUCAGACUUCACCUCCUCAGCUACUCCCUGGAUCUGGAAGUACUUGUUGGCUCUCCUAACCCAUUCCCUAGGAUUAUCCCCCAUCAAACAUAGGGAAAUCAAUCUUAGGUAACUUAGUUCCCCCCCUAAGAUCCUGCCUCUCAGUUUUUUCCCUCCUCAGUUCCUUCCUCUGUUCAUUCCCAGAACUGCUUCCCUCAUCCCUUCUCCCAGGUUCAUUCAAUUUGGCCAUCAUUUGAGCCAUCAUCGACAUCAUGCUCUCGUACUUCUGGUCCAGGUUUUUAAUGGCCUUCUCCGUGCCUUCCUGCCUAUACUCUAUCGCCCUGACCGCCUGUUCCAAUCCAUCGUUUUUGUUAGCAAACGUCCUCACAACACUCCCUAGCUCAGUCAGGUCCUUCCUUAUCAGCUCCUCCUGUGCUUUCGUCAUCCCAAUGGCUCGUAGUUAGCUCUGAUACCACUGUAAUGGUACCAGACUUGAGCUAAUUAGGAAUGUUGGCUCUCGGAAUCGAAAUCACAAUCAGAACGCCAAUGAAAUUAAUUCAAACACAAAACGAGCUAAGAAUGGAGCUCAGUAAUGGCUUCUAUUAAUCUGUAAAAGAAUACAGAAAUGGCGGGAACAAUAAGAAGGUGGAAGAGAAUGAAGGAAAUUUUAAGAAGGAAAAAAGCAGAAUGAGAUUUGAUGCUCACUUCUGUUGAAUUACAAGACAAAUUCCUACCUGCUACGUUCCCUUAAUUCCCUAUUUAUAACUAUCAAUCUAUAACUAACAUCUGGUCCUCCAAUCGCAUUUGUCCAAGUGGCCAAGUGGCCAAGUGGCUGUGAAUUUGGUUACACGAAACUGAAAGUUGUUGCAGAACUUCAAUGGCUUCCUUCGCGUGGUUGCAGAGUUGGUUUCCAGUAAAGGCGUGGUCCUUGAUUCACGCCUUGGUUUCUUCCUCUUAGAUCACGCCUUCUUCUUUGCUAUCUUCACGCUUCCUUUUAUUACUUGAUUUACUUGUCAGCUGCUCCAUGACAUUACAAGAGUAUUACUAUUAUGUUGUAAGGAGUAAAUGAAGAGCACCAAUAUUUUGGACCUAAUACGAAAUGCUAAUGCCGCAGCUUUGAAAGAUAAUAAAUAGGACGAUAAAAAGGGAGAAGAGAAAAUUGCGAAAAUAACCAUGUGGACUUUUUAGGUUUUCUCACGAGAAGGUUAAUCAGAGGGGGAGGUGAAGAGAAGGGGAGAUUGAUUGUAAAGCAAAUUAAGAAAGGAGGUAGGAGGCAAUCUUACACGAUUGAAUUUGAUCUGAAGAUGAGUGGUUAUUAACCGGUUAUGAUUAGGUCUUGAAUGUGAGAAACUUUGGACCACUGGGAGUCGGGGCCGCUGCUCUCAGGAGUGCAUCUUUCUUUUAACAGAGGAGAACCAUAAACCUCCAGACGUUUUAGUUUGGUGAGAGUUCUCAUGGUAUCCUCAGAGGGUAGACAUCGAAGCUCUUUGAAACCAAAUAAAUAUAGUUUUUCAAGAGCAGCGAGGUUUCCGAACCAAUCUGGCAGAGCUUUUACACCUCCAAAGCCCUCUAGCAUUAGUGACGUGAGAGUGGUCACGUGUUGGAUCUGAUGUGGCAGUGACUCCAUGUGUGGCAACCCAGCUAAUUCUAAUCGACGGAGUGCAGAUGAUGAAGAGGAGGAGGAGGAUAUCAAUCCAGACCAAUCAAACUCAUUGUAAAUUGAAGAAUUUUCAUGAUCAUCUAAGAAGGGACCAAUUGCAAGAUUCCUUAAGCUGGUUAGGAAACCAAAUCCUUUGGGCGUCAUGCUUGUUUUUAGUUUGGGACACCUGUAUAAUUCCAGCUCCAAGAGAGAAGGCGUUUGUUGCAAAUCAAGCGGAAAGGAGAUAAGAUUGUCGCAACCAAUCACCUGAAGCUGCUGGAGAGAGGCACAAGAGUGUAGCAUGUCACCUGGCAGAUUCGUCAACCCAUCACAACUCCAAAUCACCAGCUCUUUAAGAGACGUAAAGUUUUGCAGGGGAUGGAGUUCUCUGCAUCUGUUGCAGCGAUAAAACUCCAAACGCGCUAACUUGGGGAGCGUUGUUGGCAAUUGCAUUAACCAUCGUGGAAAUUGAUCGCCCAUAAAAUCCUUAAUUACCAACUUCUCCAAAUUUGGGUGGGGUCGAAGGCCAUCUAACACAUCUUCAUCGUUGUAAUUGUCGCCUUCUCGAUUAGGGGCCCACUUAAGUUUCAGCCGAAAUAGAUUUGCCUUUUCAGAUAGUUUUGCUUCCUCAACUCCUUCCUUAUCCUUUACUAGUUGAAGAUUGCGUAUCUCCAAUUCGCCUUUGAGGUUCUUCAAGCUUCCAAGCUCUCCAAUUCGCCGACCCUUCUCUCGACCCACCUUAAAGAACUCUAGCGUCUGAAGGCAAGUCAAUCGUCCCAUCUCUAGCGGCAUUUGAAAUUCUUCAUCACUGGUGUUAUAGUGGAGAUGUCUCAAGCUAACCAAAUCGCACAUCCCCUUCGGAAGAUCUUCAACACCCGAGUGACUUAGCGUCAGUGUCUGCAGAUUAUAAAGCUUGCAAAGGGAGUCCGGCAAAAUACUGAUUGAAGACUGCUCAAGGUUAACGUACCGCAAAUGUAUCAGUUUGCCAAUUGAGACUGGUAGCUCUCGAGUUCUUGUACGAGACAAAUUCAAAACAUACAAGUUCUUCAACUUCAUUAACAUAUCACCAGAUAAGUCACCUUUUACAAACAAUGUAUGAAGCGAAGUUGAUAGACUCUCCAAAAGUUUUUCUCCGUCUUCUCGACCACUAGACAAGUCUAUUGCAAGGUAACGAAUCUGAUUACCAUUGUCUACUGUAUGUGUAUCCCUAUCAAUAAUGACUUUGGUAGACUUUGACAUUGACUCGGCAAGGUUGUGCACCAUAUCAUGCAUUUUAUAACACCUUCCCCAAUAUUUUCUUAUUUCUUCCAGCAAAGAACUCUGCAAUAAAAUUUCCAAGUAAUACUCUCCAAUUUCCUCCAUUGUUUUGUUCUCGAGACCUGCAUGGAGGAAACCUUCUGCCAUCCAAAGUUCGAUCAGCAUAUCUCCUUCCAUCUCAGUAUCCUGGGGAAAAAUAGAACAAUAUGCAAAACAUUUCUUGACGGCUGGUGAUGGCAAAUUAUCAAAACUCAACUUGAGUAUUUGCAUCACAUGAUCUCCACCUGCACUCAAACUCAAAAGCCUAUUCUCCAAAAUUGAUCGCCACUCCUCUUUUCUCUUUAAAGAUAAUAGACCUCCGAUUACACUUGCAGCCAAUGGCAGACCGUCACAUCUUUCGAUUACUCUCUCUUUAAUUGCUUUUAGUUCAUCAGGUUCUUCUUCAUCUCCAACUACCUUUUCUUUUACGAUGGACCAACAAUGAUCAUCAGGUAGUUUUCCUAAUGGAUAGGCUUCAUUUUCCAUCAUCCUCAGAACUCUAGACACACACUGCGCCACUGGACCUGGACGAGUAGUGACCAGACACCAGCUUCCAUUAGUUGGAUUUAGUCCCUUCAAGGUGGUGAAAAAGUCAUCCCACAAUGCCUCAUCAUCAUCCCACACAUCAUCAAGGACUAGGAAAUAUCUUUUUCCCCCUAGUUGAUUUUGAAUUUUUCCAACGAUGACAUUCCUAUCAUCCCCGUCAACCUUUUCUCCCGUCAAUUGCAAUAAAAUGAGUUUGAAAAGCUCCACCCUUGGAACUUUUUUCGAUACACAAACCCAAAUCUUUUUGUUAAAGUGCCCGUCAAUUUGCUGAUUGUUGUAUAUCGAUUUAGCCAAAGUUGUUUUGCCUAGACCUCCCAUACCAAUUAUGGGAAGAACAGAAACAACCUUCUUAGACGGGCUCAACAAUAUCUUCACUAUCUUUGAUUCAUCAUCGGCUCUUCCAAUUAUUCGAACAAGAACAGAGUCAGUCUGCCGAUUUCUUGCGUCUCCAACAGCAGCAGGGAGGGCAGCAGGCACGACUGACUUACUGUCCAGUCUAAACUCACGGGCUUGUUGAUUUUUCUCCUUCAACUUCAGUUUGACGUCCCUGACCUUAGAAGCCAUUCUCCAGCGAAAAGCAAUAUUAAUGUUAGAGAAGGAGAAGAAGCAGCAUACCUUGAGCUUGUGUCGGUUUCGGGACUCCACCUGGUGACGAAGAGAUUCAUAGUGGAGCUCAUCCAACACAUUCUGAGCAUCAUAAGCCACCUCCUCGAGACUAUUCAACCAUCGUUGCACUCCUCUGCUUUGGUUUUGCCAUUCCUCGGCAUCAGCCAGGACAUCUUUGAUAAAGCCGAGAGAAAGUGUCAUGCUGGCCACAUCCUUCUUGAACCCAACUAGCAAACCAAUCCUAUCAGAGGCAAGAGACAGUGCCCUUUCCAAGGUGACCUGACUUGCGGCACCGAUAACAGGGUCAGCCAUUGGUGCUGCCUUGGAUUCAGUGUUGAGAACAAGAUGGUUUUUUUUUUAUGGAAGGUUUUUUGCAGCGAGGAACUGGUAAUCUUAUCUAGGCUAGUAUAAUUGGUUAUGAAGAAAGGAGCAUUAAUAAUUAUUGCGCGUAGACGUGGAGUUCUUCUCUGACAAAUUUGUAAGCUUUUGCAUUGGCAUGUUUACAGAGUAACUUUCUCAAUUAUUGGUAGUUGUUGGGGCACCAUGUUUUCUGAUUAAAUGCUGGGGCCUUCAGAAUUUUGGGUUGUGGACCAUAUUUGUUUUUGUCCACGAUCAAAUCGUAAAAAGGAGAGUGAGAUUCUGUUUUGGUUACAUGCUUGUCAUUAUUGUUAAAUCCUUGGAAAAUGAAUUUAUGACAUACAGUAAUUUGGUCUGAAUUUUGUUCGGUUUUGGGAAGCGACCACACUGGGAAGCAAUAAUAAAUGUUCUUCUCUGUUUUCGCACUGCCUAUGAUGCAUUUUGCUUCUUGGCUUCGUAAUCAGGCUUGAGAUUUUAAAUUACCUUUUGUACUUUAGCGUUUCAAGUAUAUUACAUGAUCGGUAUAUUACACUUUACCUUUUGUACUCGCAGGUCGUGGGAUCGAACCUCACUUAACGCCUGAGUGCAAUUGGGGUGGCGCUGUAUUCCAGGCGCAGGGGAUUAGUCGGGCCGCCUUCGGGUCUUGACCCGGACACCCCUGUGUUGACAAAAAAAUAAAAAAUAAAAAAUAAAAAAUGAUCGGUAUGAAAUCCCUAGCCUUCUACUCCUCUCUUUAAAAUCUGAUAGUCUUUAAUUCAGAUCGGUAUUAAUCUUUUUUGUUAUAUUAUUUCUUAUUACUUUCUUUUUCUAGUUGAUUCUUUUAUUACUUUUCUAACUUUUUUCUUUAGCUUUUGCUGACGCGUAUAUUGGUUUCUCCUCAAACUGGAUGUCUCUCAAUCUCUCUUGUGGGAAUUCAACGUACUUUAAGAUGAAUUUCAUUUUGCCAUUAUCAAGUUUGCACUUAAAGAAUUAAAGCUCAUAUCUUUGACAUUUAUUUAUCACAAACCUCAAUUCUUCUUUCCUCUAGUGUUUCUUUUCUAUAUCAACUCUCUUUAAUUCCGUUAUUGUCUCGCAGCAUAAUCCAGAAAGUGUCAGUAUAUAAGAAUUCUUUUGAAGUAAUUAUUACUAAUAUAUAGUUUCCGUUUCUUGUGGAAUGUUCUGAAUCUUUCCUAAAGCAACAUUUUCCAAUUUGAGUUCCAGAAUUGUUCCAUACUUUUUUGGUUUGCGCAUCACUUUGCAUGUAAGAAUUCAAAAUUUCACCACCAAUUAAAUAGUUUUCCUCGCAACUUGUCCCAUUUAAAUUCCUAUUUUUAGGAAUUUUUGUAAAAAAAAUAUACUAUAGAGAUUUGAUGUAUAUGAGGUAAAAAGAUCAUUGAGAAAUAUAUUUACGAAAAAAUACUAGUUUCCUUUUCUCUUCUAUUUCAUCUUUUUCUGAUUGAAAGCUGGCUGGUCUUUGGUUGUGGAAAACAUCUCAAUGGUUUGUCGGAGUUGUGGUUUGACCCAAGACUGACCCCGCAAAAAAAAAAAAAGAAGAAAAAAAACCAUAGCCGGUGAUAAUCAUAGCUGGUGACUUUGCAAUAUUAAUAUAAAGACCGAUAAAAAUGUAAAGGAGAAAGAGGAAAUGACAACCAUAGCUGGUGACUUUGCAACAUCAAUUACCUCAGCCAUUAAUCCUUGGGAAAUAGACUAAAAAUGUUAUUUUGUGGGGGGAAAACUUAAAAAAUAAUCCGUGGUUCACUUAUCAAAAACAUGGAGUGGAGUUAGCAAUUAGGUAUGGCAUGUAGCGACAUAAUUGGCCAAUGGUUGGGUGCUUUCUUAGCUUUUACACUUGUGAAAUCGCCAAAAUGUUCACUCGUAAUUCCACAAGCUUUCUAGCACUUUAAAAAUUCAAACAUUUUGUGUCAAAAUGUCUUGUUCAUGUACAGUAUACAAAAUUUAAGUGGUGAAAGUUUAAGGAGUUUCUUUAUUACUAUUUUUUUUUUGGAGUACAAUAUACAAUCAACUGAAGUUAGAAGUGAAAUAGACCUUUAGCUCACACUAUGAUUAUACACUUGACUGAAUUGGGAUGUUUUGGGAAGGGGGAAAUGAGCGUGUUCUUGUGGAUUUCAAUUUUUACAAUUGAAUUAUUUGCCUAUGAUAUGUUCACAAGUUUAACUUAAAUCGAGUUGUGAUAAUAGAAGAUUGUCGAAAGAAGACUUCAAAAGGUGGAAAUUGAUGGGGAAUUAACCGGUUAUUUGGAUACUUGAGUUUUCCCCAUUUUUGUAUCCGAUUCUUUUAUAAUUAAUUUUUCUCGUCCUAAAAAAUUUAUCUUUUUAGGUAAAUUUGAAUUAUUUUUUCUUAUGGUUCCUCUUUCUUCUAACAAUAUGAUAAAUUUGUUUAAUUUUUUUUAUCCAUAUGGACUAACUUAGUGUCAAAAAACUUUAACUAUUAACUGAUAGAUUUAUUAAUAUUGCUGGAAAUUGAAUAUCUGUUGAUGCAUAAAUAAAUUGCUAAAUUUUUCGUACUUAAUUAAGUAGGAAUAUGUAACUAUGUUUAUGGUUAAUAUAAAAAUUGCAAUAAUGUAAAAACUAUCCAUACACAAAAGGGUAGAGAGAAGAGCAUUGAUAUUUGGUCGCUUAAAAGUGCAGAGUUAUUAUUAACUUUGAUGCCUUCCUUUGCAAUGGAAAUAUAUAUUCCUUGCUUGGCAUCUUCGCUUUAAAUUUCUUGGAUGCUUUGAAAUGCAGAGUUAUUCUUGACUUUGAUGCCUUCCUUCGCAAUGGAAAUAUAUAUUCCUUGCUCGGCAUCUUCACUUUAAAUUCCUUGGAUGCUUUGAAAUGGAAAUUCCUCGCAUGGGAUUUUCACUUUAACUUUCUUGUUGGGGCCUUCAUCUUUACAUUUGCUGUUUGCUUAACAUAUAUUUCAUUCAUUCGUUAAUCCUUGAAAGAUGAACUAAUUAGAACAUAAUUUGGCCUUAACGCACACCUUAAUCUGUUAGCUAGAGACGUAUAUUAAGUGAAUAGUCAAUACAAAAAUCUAUUAGGCUUCUAAUUAUUUGUUAAUUCAAAAUUUGAUAUUGUUGAUGUUGAGCAUCGAGCCUUUUCAACUUUGCAUAAUCAAUGAGUACCCCACAUUCUGAACUGUGGUGAAUGAAGUUUGGCGAAGAAUAACUUGAAAUGUGGAUUUGCUUCAAACAGAACUCUAAUCAUGUAGGACUCGAACAGAAGCAUUAGAAAAAUUAGAUUAGAUGACCAGUAUGAGGAAGGGUAUUUUAAGCAUUACAAAAAUAAAAAAAAAAGGAAGAAAUACCAUUAUAUAUAGCACCUGUGGAGCUCCAGUCCUUAAAGUUUUGACAAAAACAAAUUUAGUCCUCAAGCACGAUUGUAGUCCCUAAAGUUUCUAUGAGAACAACUCUGGUCUCUAACGUAUCCAAUAUAAAGUAGAUUUAGCAAAGUACAAAAAAGAAAAAAGAAAAAAAGAAAAGCCCCAACACUUGGUUUUUGUGCAUAAUUAAACAAAUUUCCUUUUUUCCUGUUUUCUGGGUUAAUUAAUAACUCACGUUUCAUCACAUGAGUUGCUCUUACUGUUUAAGGUUAUCCAUUGAUUUGCUUCUUUCUUACAAAAUUAAUUAAUAAUUUUGUACUUUCUUUUCAAUCAUGUGCACCGAGCGUGCCAGCAGACACCCAAAAUUCCUGCCUAAAGGUAAAUGCCACCCACAUAGCUAUCAUUUCUGGGCAUUAGUGUGAUUUCUUUCAGUUUUUGGACCUAAUCUUUGUGUUAAACAUUUUAUACAGUCAUCCUUAGCGAGCAAAGUGUGUAUAUCUUAAGCUCAAAAGCAUAAAGUGUUGCAUCUCAGCCCCAAGUUCAAGAGUGUAAAAUGUAGUUAGCCCUUAAAUUCAGUCAUCAUUCUCUUAGAAUCUUCUUGGUCAGCUUCUCAAAGCAUAAAGAAGCAGGGCCAAGAAUCAGAACAAAGAACACACGAGAUUUUUCUUUGCUAAAAUAUUUGAGAAGGUUGGGCCGUAGCUCAUAAAUCCUCAAUCAGAUAUGCUACAACAGCUUUCAAUUGAAGAUCAGAGAGGAAGUUUUAUUUGUUCUUAGGCCUAACUUCAGCAUUAAUAUAGAUCUAGAGUCAUCACUAGCUAGAAGUAAGAAAUUCAAAGAAAUAUGACAAAACAUAUUAAUCCGGUAUUUACUAUGGGCACUCGUUGACAUACUUAAAUUAAGCACAACUUAUUAUGUUAAUACACACAAUCACAAUUAAUGUACUCCUUGUAUUAUAUGCUUUUUCGUAUUAACUACAUUUUUUAAAAAGACUAAUGCAGAAAACAACUCUAAAUGAGUGUCAAAUUGGGCACCCAUUAGCCAAAGUAGGUUAAGCCAAUUAAGUUAUACCAAAAUGCGAGCAACUUCAAGCCUUCAAUUAAUAAUGGGUGAAUGUGAAAAGGCUUCAUCAAACACGAUUAUAUAUAUAUAUAUAUAACAAGACAAUUUCAUUCCAAUAUUAGUACUAAUGGCAGCAAAUACAUCAAUCAUAACAUAGAUUUAUAUAGAUCUGAGAAUCAAAUAAUAUAACAGAUUUAAAAAUCCAUAAACUUGACCAUAACAUUGAAACUCCAAGAAUAUCUUCCAUCAAAUAAAGCUCUAAGUAUAGCCAAUCCUUGAGAGAGAAGGGGAAAGCUCUAAGUCUUAUCUGCUCCUCAGUGACCCCAGGAGGUUUCAUGCUGGAGCAAACUACCUCGAACUCCUUGACAUGUUUGUGGGGUUCUUCGCCAGAGAGACCAUGGAAAGAAGGUAGAAGGUGAAUCAACCCCGACUUCAGCUCGAAAGCAGUAUUCUCUGCCAAAGUGGGGAAUGUGAUGCAUAAGGGCUGAUGAGUCAACUCCGGGGCAGCCAGUUCCCUCAAUGUUUGGGUGUUGGCCAUGCUUACUUCGUCUUCCGCUGACUCGUCUGCAGCAAAUAAGUGCCUUUCUUUUUGUCUCUUGGUCUCUUGCCUCCGCCUACGCGCUGCCUUCUCAACCUCAGGAUCGUAUACCAAGUCACCUGUGCGAGAAGAACGGGGCAUAAACUAGCAAAAAUACCAAGAAAAAUAAAAUAAAAUAAAAUAAAAAUAAAAAUAAAAUAAAAACUAAAUUUGAAAAGAAACAAAUAAUCCAAAUGCCAACUCCCCGGCAACGGCGCCAAAAAUUGACAGGUGCCGAACCUGUGCAAUAAUAAUUACUAAAAAGUCCUAAUUACCACCUCAAUUAAAUAAUUAUAGAACAAAUCCAAGUACUGGAGCAGGGACCCUAGGUGUGCAAUGGGUUACUUGAUUCACCCUGUUCCCGAAGAGUUUGCUUGAUCCGAAAUACCGGGGUUGUCUAUAAAAAUACUAAUUUUGCGUACAAUGGCAAGUAGGGUCGAUUCCACAGGGAGCAGGUAGGAAAUUAUUUCUUUCCAAAUCAGCAGAGCAAAAUUUGGGGGAUUUUCAAUGGGAGAGGAAUAAAUAAAAUAAAAGUAAAAUAAAAACAAAGCGAACUAAAUUCAAAACCAACUCACAAAGCACAAUUCACUAAAAAUAGCAAUUAAUAAAAGUUCUACCCAAAGGAUCAACUGCUCAGGCACUGUCCAAUUAAAUGAUCAUCGAUGCAAAGAUAUUUCACACAUUCAUCACUAGAUUGGUUAUAGCUAUCAAUAAGCUCUGACAACCAAUUCUUCCUUACCUUUUCGACAGUCAAGGUACGACCAUUGACUGCUUCCCUAACCAGAUAACAACCCUAGGUACGACCUUAGGAAUUUAAUUACCCAUUUGCAUUAAAGUUAGAAGAACCCAACCCUAACCAAUAAACACGCUAAGAGGGUUUAUUUAAACUAGAUCUUGCAUUUCCCCAUCAUAAAACCAAUUAUGGUGGUUGCCACGGGGUGUUAACUAAAUGAACAAUUACGGAUUCUAUUUAAUUAACUUGGCAGUAGGCUAUUAAAUUAAAUCAAAUACCCGGCCGUUGAUAUUCAAUUAAUAAAAUACCCAUGAACAAUUAAUUCAGGAAAUGCACGAAUAGCAAUUAAUCGGAGGAAAUAAUGAAGAUUCGGUUAGAUCUCACAGAUAUUAUGGACCGCGCCUUCGCGUCAACCUUUGGGUAGAGGAGGAAAUUAGCCGCUCCUCAUCGUUUCAAUCCCGCGUGGUUUAAUUGACUUCAUUCAAUUAUUUGCCAAGGAAUUGGGAAAGGGAAAUUAACUGCAAUAACAACCGAAAAGGCCCUGCCUUCGUCCCUGCUUCGGAGUCCCAAUUACAAAGCCAAAGCUACGAAUGAACUGUCCAGCGGAAAAGUUGAAAGUCAACAGAGAAAGGGGCGUCUAGCGCCUGGGAAAAGGAAAAAAACUAAAGCUAGCGUUUUUUAUUCGAUGUCAAAAUUCCUAUCUAAUUUGCUGCCCCCGAAGAAACAAAAGCGAAGGGCGGCGUCUGACAAAAAGUAGCCAAAAAGAAAACUAAAGCUAACUCCCGAUUCUGAAUCUCUUUUUCCUUUUUAUAUGCAGUGCCGCCCAAGAGAAGUCAAGAAGCAAACAUACGUCUGGCCCAAUUGAUUGCAAAAGGUAUCUCCUUUGGAGUUUUGAUCCCACGCUCCGAGUUCACGUGGACCACGGUCCGUCUUUCGGUUUCGUCCACCUUCCAAGGCGUGGUCACGCUCUGGGACGACAAGUCUUCUGGAAAUUUUUCCCCGCGAUAUCUUUUUAAUGCUAACCACCUACAAUUCACACAAAUGUCAAAUAUGAGUGAAAUCCCCUUCCUUAGCACCAUGAAUAGCCAAAAUUAGGACAAGAUGACAGUGCAAAACGUGCCAAAUAACGGCUCUAUCAAAUCCCCCCACACCUAGACAAUGCUUGCCCUCAAGCAUUUCGAAGCUCAGACGUACAACCAAGAGAGCGGAGGUCAUGCAGCAGUCUAUACUAACACAAACAUUUCAGAUCCUUGACAAUGUUGCCAAAAUUAAAACACAUCGGACAGGCUGUAAUUCAAAGAAGAUAUAUGAAUACUAGGAACGCUCAAAUCAACAUCACGAAAUGUCAUUACCAUAGGCUUGCACAUUCAUCACAUCUCCACCACUUGAAAGUGAACUAAACACAUAAAUCAAAGGGACUUUAAUAGGGUUGUAAUGGGGCUCAGGUGAAAGGUAGGUUAAGAAGGUAUGGAUAGGGGGUAAAGUGUCAAGAGAAUGUCCGAAACUCCCCAGUAACCACAGUGCUUUAUCGAAGGAGUUUAACUAAUAGGGCAGUUUCCAUUUGCUGUACACCCCGUACAAGUGCCCAAAUUUUUUUUUUUUUUUUUUUUUGGGAAACUGCUUGCAAGGCGUGGGCACGCCUUGUAGCUCAUAGUCCUCUGGUCACGAGGGCUUCUUCAGGUGUUUUUUUUUUUUUUUUAAUUUCCCCUCCUUUACCCAAGGAUAGCACUAUAUAGCUCCUAAUCUAUCAGCACUUGCAACCCCAAUUUGUUUGCUUUUCACAAAUGACGGAGUUCAGGCAUCCCUUGACAACACAGGGGUAAACAAGAAAGUUUAAAGAGGUCACGGGUUAACAAACACGGAUAACAACCAGAAAUGAAGGACAAAAACUCAAAUUGGUUCACUAUUGGGAGACAAGAAGAGGGCUUGAUUUUUUUAGACAGCUAAAGAGGGUUAAAUCCUAAAUGCCCUUAUCAUUUCAAAUGCAUCCAAUUCAACAAAAAUGUGGCCUCGACAUGCAUAAACUAGCAAGUUCUACAAUGCCAAUACCAUGUGUGAUACCCACUCAAUCAAACAAAAUAGAGCAAACAUGAAUAAUAUGCUCAAGCAAGGCUCAAAAGCUCCCCAAAAGUUACAAGAUUGGGUCAAUUCCAGCAUAUUCAACAUUCUACGACAUUGCCAAGGGGAAUAAAAUGCAUAGCUAGCAUACUUGACCACAUAACCACUCACUUUGAUUACGUCAUUCAUCACAGCAACAUGCCCCAACAUUGGCAAGCAUAGACAUAAUUAACGAACCGACUAAUUACAAUGAUUUUCAUUACUAUUUUUUCCUUCUUUUUCAUAUAUAUAUAUAUAUAUAUAUAUAUUUUUUUUAACGAAGCAAAAAGCACAGAACUGAUGAGACAAAGCGAAAAGGACUAGUGAAAGCCACUCCCCCCACACCUAAGACCGACAUUGUCCCCAAUGUAGGAAAGACAAAUGAAGUAUUAGGAGAACUGAGAGGAACUUCCCUGAUCACCGGGGAGUGAAAGCGAGACACUAAGGUGAAGGGGGAUGAGGCGGCGUGAAUCCAAUGUGAGCGUAGAAGGCCGCCUGAUUUUCUGCCUGAAUGCGGGCGAAGACCUGGAGCGCCAUAAGACGGCCAUCUAUCUGUGAUAGCUGGGUGUUGAGCUCAUGAACACCCUCCUGGAGGUCCGGGUAGCGGGGGUCUCUAGCAGGAGGAGGAUGCGAGGAGGACGGUCCCGCCUGAUCCGGAUGCGGUGGCAAGUCAGUGGAGGGUGCAGUGGUGGGCACCCGAGGCUGUGGACCGUCAUAACCAGGGGGCGUAAACUGAUAGUCAUCGCCCACUUUGCGAAUAACCCCCAUUCGCUCCAAACUGCCCAAAUCCAGUGGCUCGAUCUCUCGAGCUAGCGCGAAGUUGUGCUCCUUGUCGAGGUCUAGCACUCCCAAACGAAUGGCCAAGUGAGUAAUGAGCGAGCCUAGGAUAAUCGGUUUAUUGCGCUUGUGAAUGACUGACUCCAUUUGAGUGGCUAUCCAACACCCAAAAUUAACCUUAACAUUGUUGCGCAUGCACCAAAGGAAGUAGAACUCUGAUUUGGUAAGGGUGCCGGAGGAAUCCUUCCGCCCCGAGAAAUUGUAAGCCAAGAACCUGUGGAUGACUUUUAAAACCGGAUCCUUCAGUUCAUAAGCCUUGGACUGACUCGGAUUAUAAACUUGCCGAUCCGUGGACCACUCUCUCCAGAUGUCAAUGUAUUCAGUUCUGAACGGUCUGGUCUAGUCAAUAGCACUAUUAAUAUAAUCUCCGGAGGCAAUGGUAUCCGCACUGACAAACCCCAAAGUCAGAUUAAACUCGUUGAUUGAAAAAUCAUAAUGUUUGCCCUUUAAUCUAAACCGAAUAAUCUCCGGCUCAUCCAAAGUGAUGUGUUCAUUCCUGAUAAACUCAAAGGAGCAGUAGAAUUCGCAACAAAGCUCCUCGAACGUGGGGUAGUUAAUGGUGAGAUACUGCUCCCAGCCUAUUGCCGAGAACAACUGUUCAACCUCUCGUGCAAUUCGCAAAUGGUCCAAGGCCGGGGCGUGAAAGCACUUGCAAGGAGCAACCGGGCGAUACACCAAGGUGUUAAACCGGUCCUGUUGGGCCCUUGUAAGAUUAGUUAUCGGUUCCCCCCACUCUCCAGGAGACAUGGUGCUCUUAUUCAGGCCCAAACAGGACCGAAUGGUGGGUUGUACCGGGGCUCGUCUCUUCCGAGGUUGGGACCCAGACGGCCCAGCAGUAGUUGUCUUCUUAGGGGGCAUUGAGGGACCACAGACAGAGUAGAUUAGCUUAGAUAUAGCCAGCCAAUCACCAAGAGCAGAUAUGGGACCACCGUCAACAAGAAUUACUAAAUACUCAGCAGCUCAACAACAAAAGGGGACACGGUUACCCCACCAAACAGCGACCAGACCACACAUCAACCAAUGCCCCACUGUCGCCAAUUAGCCAACAACAAUAAAGAAAAUCGAACUAACGCCCUUCAAAUCAAGAUAUUGGUCAAUCAAAGGCAACAAUCAGAGGGCUACCAACCACGUGUUCCAAAUAAUAAACUCACUAGAGCCCACAGAUAUCUCCAGUAUAUAAUCACAGGGAAGCAGAUAUAAGGUUUCUUCCUUCAGAUAAGCAAAUAACUAGUCUCCCGACAAUACUAACAAUUAUAGCAACCCAACCGGAGGCACAAAUUCAGCAAUUAAAAUUCUCAAUCGAAGUCACCAGUUCAACAAGAAAGGCAAAUAGGGUUACCACAGUUUCUCUUGGUCCACGCUGGAGAGGAGAAUGGCAAAGAGGGAGAGGCGCGCGCGUGCGGAAAGGCGCGCUGUUGCGGCGGCAGCGCACAAGCGCUGGGCAUGCUGUUGCGCGCGCGGGUGCUGCUGCUGGUCGCGCGCGCUGGUACUGCGCUGCUGGUGUGCGGCUGGCAGAGGAAGGAGGCUGCGCUGGUGGGCAGGCUGAGGUCGCGCGCUGAGUGGGGCAACCGUCGCGCGCGGGCUGGCGUGCUGGGCGGCGAUCUGGCGCGCGUGGGCUGCUGCUGCUGGGUAGGGGCUUGCGCGCUGGGCUGAGGGGUACGCGCACGGUCUGGCCUGGAGCGCGCGGGCUGGUCUGGCGCGCAAGCUGGUGCGCGCUGUUGUAGAUCUGGAAGGCCGCACGCUGGAGUCGUGGUGGGUCGCGCGAGCGGCGGCGGCGGACUGCAAUGGAAGGCGGUGGCGACGGACGGCAGCGGCGAGCUUCACAAGCAAGGGAAGAAAGUGAAAUCAAUAUUUUUAGAGAAAUUGGAAGAUCAAUUGCUCAAGUCACGGACAGGGACAAGACUAGAAAAAGUGAAGACAAGUGAAAAGUGAAAAGGUAGGGUCUUGGUCAAAGUUUUUUUUUUUUUUUUUUUUUUUACUUUCGCUAUCGUAGGGGUUGGAAGGCGUGGGCACGCCUUGAAGGACCCAGUUCUCUGCCCAGCGCAUCCAAAUGAUACUCAAGCGAUUUUAUUUUUUUUUUCGCUAUCAGAAGGAUUGGAAGGCGUGGGCACGCCUUGGAGGAUAUAGUUCUCUGACCAACGUAUCCUAAUGAUACUCAAGGGAAUUUUUGUCCAAGCGCGGGCACGUCUUGAGACUGUUAGUUUCCAAUUUGCUCAGGGCACCUGGCGCGACCCUUUCAGGACGUGGGCACGCCUUGAAACCUCUACUCUUCUGUCCAACACCACAAAAACAGUCAAAACAUUAAAAUAAAACUGGAAAAUCGCAGAGUAAGUAAAAAAAUGAUCACAACUAAUAUUGUAGUUCUUGGGUUGCCUCCCAAGCAGCGCCUUUCUUUAACGUCUUUGGCUAGACAUGGCCUUCAAUUGUUUAAAUCUCUCCACUUGGAUCAUCAAGGAAUAAAACCUCCAUUUGCUCAUUAUUAAACCCUUCGUAAUAAGGCUUUAGACGGUGACCAUUGACUACAAACCUUUUCUCCGUCUUAAGACUUUGUAUUUCCACUGCACCAUAAUGAGAAAUAUUAGUAAUAACAAAUGGACCAAUCCAACGGGAGCUGACAGGUCGUCAGCCUGUGCAACAAUAAUAAUAAAUAUAGAACCUAGAUACCACUAAAAGCAGUCAACAAUCAAUCCUAGGUACUGGAGCAGGGACUCUAGGUGUGCAAUGGGUUACUUGAUUCACCCUGUUCCCGAAAAGUUUGCUUAACCCGAUAUACCAGAAUUAAUUAAUUGACAAAAAUUACUAAAUAGUAGACAGUGGCAAGUAGGGUCGUCUCCUCAGGGACUGGGGAUAUCUGUCUCUUUUUAAAGUCCAAUUGAUAAGGGGGGAUUUCACCGGAAUGAAACUAAAAAUAAUUACACAAUUUAAUUAAAAAUAAAUAAAUCACUAGCACAAGUAAAACAGGAAUUAAAUCAAGAAUAAAUAAAUUCUAGCCAAGGAUACAACUACUCAGGCACAGUCCAAUCAUCCGAUCAUUGAUGCAAGAGAGGUUCACUUAAUGUAUUAAUAGGCUAGUUAUAGUCUGACGACCAAUUUUUCCUUAAAUUAUAGAUGACCAAGGUACGACCAUUAAUCACCUCUAACCAAAAAAGUACUCCUAGGUACGACCGUAGGAAUUAAUUUUCCAAUUGCAUUAAUAACUAGAAAAACCUAGCCCUAACCAAUAACACGCUAUGAGGGUUAUUUAAAUUAGAUUGCACGUUCCCCUAAUGUGUAAACACACCAGUUGCCACUAACAUUAAUCAAUCAAACAAUUACGGAUUUAAUUGACUAAAUUGGCACGAGAUUAAUAAAUCACAUUGAACAUCGGGUCCUUGACAUCCAAUUAAUAAAAUAAUCCCAUGAAAAUUCAAGCAGAUAACGUGCAAAUAUUAAUAAAUAAAGGAACACGUGAAAACUAAUUAGAUCUCACAGAUUUUCGGGACUGCGCCGUCGAGUUGACCCUUGACUAGAUGGAAGAUUUAGCCACGCCGCAUAAUUAAAUCACCACACGAAUUAAUGGAUUGCAAAGGCAUAGCGUUUUCUAUUAAGAAGUAAGGAAUAAAAGGUGUUUUUUCCGUUGGGGAAUUUUGUCGAACACCUGGCGUGUGUCAGAGGCUAGUCAAAAGAAGGAAAAACUUAAAACUACACUAAAAGCCUAAAAACUAGAGAUGUCCCUGCUACUCUACGUUAUCUCUAUUUAAGCAAUAAAAGAAAGAUGGCUAAAGGCUAUCUAGGUGGUCCCCACACAUGUGGACAAAACCUUCAAAGUACUUCCUUCCCCCAAGUCUCUUUCCGUAGCUUCCUUUUAAGAGCCCAAAGGAGUAGAUGCCUUCCACUAGCUUGUGGUCCCCCACCAAUUCAAGGGCCCAAGAAUUGAAUCCCUUAGAAGUCUCCCUAUUUUCCAUAAAGUCCUUCCUUUUUGAUGAUUUUCUGCUUCAUUCCUGAAAUUAAGUCCAGAUACCAAAUAUGAGUAAAUAUCAGCAAUUAACACAAUAUUUAUCAGGGAUAAAAGGGGAAAUCAAUAAUAAAAUUACUAACAAAUUGUACCCUAUCAAUUCCCCCCACACCUGAAUCAUGCUUGCCCUCAAGAAUGGGGACAACCCAACUCAAUAAUGACUAGCUUUCACAUUAUCAUUGCCAGCAGUGCUUAUACCCAAAAUCAAGAUUUAGCGGCUAAAUGUCAAGUCAUAUCUCACUCGGUUAGCUUCUAAGUUCAUAGACCUGUCCAAUUCAUGGCUAAUUCGCUUAGGAAAUCCAAAUACUAACUAGCAAUAGUCAGUAAUUAAGUCAACUGGCAACCAAAAUCUCAACAAUACGACCCAAGGAUCGGCAGGCUAACAUGAUCAUAAACUCACAUAUUCUGCACUUCUGAUUUCCUUUUUUUUUUCUGUUUUUUUGGAUUGCAAGAAUAAUGCUUAGUCCCGAGCUAUUCAAGUCUUUUGACGUGAACGCUGACAUUUUUAGAUGAAAGAGCCCAGUUACUCGACCUUUCAUAGCUCCAGGACUUUUUUACUCAUAGAUAUCGCUACUUUUUGACGCGAGAGCCGACACUUGUGGUGAAAGCUCCCGGUUACUAGGUAGCGACACUAGCGGAGUACAGCCAUAUGUUAUUCACCAUAAAACACCAAAACACCAAGUAAUUACAGAUCAUAGCCCGCGUCAUGUCCUAAAUAUGGAGAACUAAGGUAAACAGGAGACCAAACUACACAACAAUGCCGGUAAAAUAUUUAUAUUGCCUAACCAAGUUAGCCAUAAAUUGCACCAAGUCGUUAAUACUCAAAAUAUUCACCAAGUAAGCAUGCUUUUACUUGCCACUGCAACUCAACUCGUAGUACAAACCACCACUAACAAGAAAAAAGUGAGCUGCCAAAAAUAUUCACCAAGAUAGAAGCAAGGGAAAGACACUCAAAAGGGAUAAAGGAGCAACACCUAAACAGAAAACAAGAGGAAAAAUAAUAAAGAAACGAGAACUAGCACCCAAACUGAGACCCCCCCCACACCUAAACGACACAUUGCCCCCAAUGUGAAAAUAUAAUAGCAGGAAAAUGGAGAGGGGCAACGGUACUUCCCUGAAAUCGUCAAGACAAGGGUGGAUUAGGCGGAAACUGAGGUGGGAACCCAGCUUGCUGCAUAAAAGCCGCGAGAUUCUGCGCCAGAUUGUGAAUGUUAACGUCCAUGUGUUUUUGCCGAAUCUCAAGUCGCUCGACUGUGUUGCGGAGCUGGUUCCAUUCCUCAUGUGUAUGGGCGGAAUGGGGGGGCACGGAGGAAGAAGCACCGGGAUCACCGUCCUCAGUGGAAGCUCGGGCAGAAGAUGACCGAGGGGGGGUUCUAGAGGCCCCGGGGGGACAACCCCCCAACCAUUGUCGCCCUCCCGAACUAAGCCCAUUUUCUCCAAGCUUGGAAUAUCCAAAGGCUCCAUUUGACAGGCAAUAUGCAAGUUGUGGUUAGAAAUAUCAAGGACAUGCAAAUUAAUAGCCAAGUGAGUAAUGUAAGACCCAAGAAUCAAGGGGCGUUUCUUUUUAGGCAAAAUGGACUUGAAUUGAGACGCGAGCCAACACCCAAGAUUAACCUUAAUAUUGUUUUGCAUGCACCAUAUAAAGAAAAACUCCGACUUAGACAAAACGCCCGAACUAUCUCGCCUACCCGAGAAACUGUAAGCCAAAAAACGGUGGAUAUAGCGAGAGGCCGGGUCCUUCAGAUAGGACCCCUUUGAUAGACGAGGGUCAUAGUUUUUACUGUCUACAGACAUAUCAUCCCAAAGAAAGCGAUAACGGGAGAAAAACGGCUGGACAUAGUCACAUGCACUCUCGGCAUACUCCCUAGGCUCAGCAUAAGCUGGAUCAAUGAAACCAAAGGCCAGAUUGAAGUCGGUUAUGGAAUGGUGGAAUUCCUGGCCCAUUAAACGGAAGCGGAUGACAUCAGGGGUAGAAACUGUGUAAUUAGUGGGAAGGUCAAACUCAAACGUGGCAUAAAACUCCCUAACCAACUCGACAAAAGCCGGGAGGUCAGUGAUACGAGAAUAGGGGCGCCACCCGAUGGCUUCAAUCAAAUCGUGAAAGGGGACACUAAUAUUUAAAAGGCCCAAGGUGGCGGGGUCCCGAUAACGACAAGGAAUAAUCCGUCGUUCACAAGCCGCUUCAUAGCGCCGCUUGUCGGCUGCCCGGGUGAAGUCCAAAUGACCCCCAAAAUGUUCAGGGUCAGAGAUAUGGACGCCUCUUUGUCGCCCAAGACGAGCCCGCCUCCCAGAGGAGGAAGGGUCGUGCGAGGGGUCAGAGGCGGGAAUGGAAUGCUUGGGUGGAGGGGGCUGAGGAGUCCUAGGGGUCCUAGACUUAGAAGAAGAUCGGGGCUUCACCAUGGUGACCAACAGGCAAACCCGAAACAACCAAGUAGCAAUAUAAGUGUCACGGGCGCCCCCAAUAAGCAAGUAUAAGCGUCACGGGCGCCCCCAAAUUCAACCAGCAAUCUCAGCAAUAAAUGGUGAGAAUUGAGAGACAGUUCAGCACAGAGAAUGAAGAAAUGGAAAGCAAUACUGCCACCAGUACCACUGGUGUAAAGACAGGAAAGCAAUGCAAGCACCCUCAGGCUAUAACAAUCCUCAACAAGACAUCAAAUGCAAUUAAUAAAGAGCAACAGUCCCAAUAGAAUCCAAUAUAAGACAAAACAGCCCAAGCGUGCAAUACUACUCCAAAUAACCCAAGUAGGUUCAUUAGGCACAAACAAUCAGCAAUCAGCAAAGGAAGGGACACAGUAGCCCUCCAAUUCAACAAACAGACGCAUAAAAAUGCCCAGCCAAUGUCACUUCAAGGGCCACGAGUUAAAAAUUAACAACACAAACCACGAGUGAUAUCAACAGGGACCCCAAAAGAGCAAUGAACUCAACUAUUUGAAGUAAGCAGGACUCAACAAAUGUCACCACUUGGACAGCCAAUCACUCAAUUAUAAUCCAGCAACAACUGAAUAUAAUGUAAUCACAGGGAAGAGUCACAGGGAAGAAUUGAAUCAGACGGCCAACCAAAUCCACCAAGAAAUCCAGACAAUCACUAAACAGCCCCAGAAAUUAGAAAUUGACAAAAGUACCUCCCUUAUGCCCAACCGUAGACAGCGGGACAGUGAUGGGGCGCAAUGGCGCGGCUGGCGGCUGGCGGCUGCUCUGGUGGGGUGAACGAGGGAGGACAGGGCCGAGCUGGGAGUGGCGGGAUCGGUGGUGGAAAGCUCGGCGAUUGUGCUGAUGCGGUGGUGGAGAGAGCAGAUCUGGCGGGGGGAAAGGCGCGGCGAGCUUGGCGGCGAUGGAAGCGGGUCAGCGGCGGCGACUGGCUCUGCGGAGUACAGGCACCUCGUGGCCGUGGGCAACGUGGAGAGAGGGACCAUGAGCUGGUGGAGCUCGGGGUUUGACGGCCAGGCGCGCUGAUGGUGGCGCGCGAGGGUGGGCAGCCGCGCUUCGUGGAGAAAACCAAGGCGUCAGUGGCGGUGGUCGCGGACAGCCGGCGAUGGUGGCCUAGGGCGCAGUGGAGCUUGGAGGCGGUGGCGGCGCGCGAAAGCUGGUGGCUUGCGCGUCACUGUGGGCUGCAGGUGGCGGCGGACUGGUCGCUGGGCUGCGCGCGUUGGUGGCCUAGGGCGCAGUGGAGCUUGGAGGCGGCGGCGGCGGAUGAAGAAGAAAAGAACAGGGGAAAAAGAAAGCAGCGGGGAAGAAGGAAGAAAGAAAAAGAAAAAAAAAGAAAGAAAGAAAGAAAGAAAGAAGAAAAGAAAAAAAAGAAAGAAAAAGAAUUUUUUUUUUUUGUUAUAUAAACAAUGCUUACGAAAAUCUGAAAUCUGAAAUUGUUUAUUUUAAAUUUUAAAAAAAAAAUUUUUUUUAUAAAGCAAUAACAAAAACAAAAAUAAUAAUAACAAUAGUAAUAAAUUUUAAAUUUUAAUUUUAAAUUUUUUUUUUUUGAAUUCGUGUUUUAGGUCGUCAAACACCGCGUGGGCACGGCACGCCAAGAUUGGUCUUCGUCCUCUGAUCUCAGGAGACACAAACACCGCGUGGGCACGCCAAGAUUGCAAUUCAUCUACUGAGCUCAGGAGGCACCAACACCGCGUGGGCACGCCAAGAUUGCUUCAUCUCUGACCUCAGGAGACACCAACGCCGCGUGGGCACGCCAAGAUUUCACUUCCUGAUUCAGUGAAGGAAAUAUUAGUAUUGAUACUACCCAACGAGUAAAUGACCCAAUGCAAAAGAAAAACACUAGAAAUACCAAAACAACUAGAAAUAACAAAACUAAUAUUCGGGUUGCCUCCCAAACUAGCGCCUUUCUUUAGUGUCUUUGGCUAGACAUAGCCCAUAAUCUGCUUAAACCAAGCAAAUUGGGUCCUCCAAAUGCAUCAUCUCUACCCGCUCAACUGGAACCUCAUCAUAAUAUGGCUUGAGGCGAUGACCAUUCACCACAAAUUUCUUCUCCGUCUUUAGACUCUGGAUCUCCACUGCACCAUAAUCAAAGACAUUAGUUACAACAAAGGAACCAAUCCAACGAGAACGUAGCUUACCUGGAAAUAACUUCAAUUUGGAGUGAUACAGUAGAACUUUUUGUCCACAUUCAAACGUCUUCCUAGAGAUCUGUUGGUCAUGAAAAAUCUUGUUUUUCUCCUUAUAAAUCACAGCAUUCUCGUAGGCUUCAUUGCGAAUCUCCUCCAAUUCUUGUAACUGUAGCUUCCUUUGAAUUCCGCCCUCUUCGAUACCCAUGUUGCAUUGCUUGACCGCCCAAAAUGCUCUAUGCUCGAACUCGACAGGGAGGUGGCAUGGCUUCCCAAAUACCAAACGGUAAGGAGACAUGCCGAUUGGUGUCUUGUACGCCGUUCUAUAUGCCCACAAGGCAUCUUCAAGUCUCACACUCCAGUCCUUCCUAUCAGGUCGAACCAUUUUUUCCAAAAUCGACUUGAUCUCCCGGUUCGAUGCUUCCGCCUGACCAUUUGUCUGCGGAUGGUAAGACGUGGAGACUUUGUGCAAGACCCCGUAUCUCCUAAAAAGUGCAGUAAUUGUCUUGUUGCAGAAAUGGGUACCCCGAUCACUUACAAUUGCUCGCGGCAUCCCAAAUCGGACAAAGAUAUUAGACUUGACGAAUUCUGCGACUACUUUGGAAUCAUUAGUACGGGUGGCCUUCGCUUCCACCCAUUUCGAGACAUAGUCUACAGCAAGCAAUAUAUAUAAAAAGCCAAAAGAUGAAGGAAAAGGACCCAUAAAGUCAAUACCCCAAACAUCAAAAAUCUCAACAAAAAUCAUUGGGGUCUGGGUCAUUUGAUCCCUUCGAGAAAUAUUACCUACUCGUUGACACUUAUCACAUGACUUACAAAAUAAGUAGGUAUCCUUAAAGAGGGUCGGCCAAUAAAAUCCACUCUCUAAAACCUUACGAGCAGUCCUCUUUGGUCCAAAGUGACCUCCACAUGCGAAAGAGUGACAAUAAGCUAAAAUAGAUUGGAAUUCAUUUUCACUUACACAUCUACGAAUGAUUUGGUCAGCACCACGUUUCCAGAGGUACGGGUCAUCCCAGAUGUAAGACUUUGCGUCACUCCUCAAUUUGUCCCUUUUUGCCUUAGGCCAUCCUGCAGGAAACUUGUCAGUAACUAGAAAAUUAACCAUAUCCGCAUACCAAGGCAAAGACAAAUUAAUAGAAAAUAAAUGCUCAUCGGGAAAAGUUUCUCUCAAUGGGAUAUUAUCUUCUUCGACUUGCACUCGACUUAAAUGAUCCGCUACCAGAUUUUCAGCCCAUUUCUUAUCCCUGAUCUCCAAGUCGAACUCUUGGAGCAGUAGUAUCCACCUUAUCAGUCGCGGCUUCGCCUCUUUUUUGGUCAACAGAUACCGCAGGGCUGCAUGAUCAGAGAAAAUAAUAACUUUAGCACCAAGUAAAUAUGACCGAAAUUUCUCUAACGCAAAAAUUACAGCUAAAAGCUCCUUUUCGGUGGUCGAAUAGUUCAACUGAGCCCCGUUCAAGGCUCGAGAGGCGUAGUAUAUAGCAUAGGCUGCCUUCCCCACUCUUUGACCCAGGACCGCGCCCACGGCAUAGUCGCUGGCAUCGCACAUGAUCUCGAACGGUAGGUUCCAAUCAGGGGGUUGGAUAAUAGGUGAGGAGGUCAGUAUCUCCUUUAACCUAUCAAACGCCCCCUUACAUGACUCAUUGAACUCGAAGGGUACCUCUUUCUGCAAAAGUUGGAACAGGGGCGCUCCAAUCUUGGAGAAGUCCUUUAUGAAUCUCCGGUAGAAACCUGCGUGACCCAAAAAAGAACGUACCUCCCGCACACUCGCGGGGUAAGAUAAAGUAGAUAUAACAUCUAUUUUUGCCUUAUCAACCUCAAUACCGCUAGACGAUACCACAUGACCCAAAACUAUCCCGUGCUCGACCAUAAAAUGGCAUUUUUCCCAAUUGAGUACGAGAUUAGCUUCUAUGCACCUUAUUAGAAUUAAUUUCAGGUUAUCUAGGUAGUUAUCAAAACUAUCCCCAUACACACUGAAAUCAUCCAUAAAAACCUCAAUAAUCUUCUCAACAUAUUCUGAAAAAAUACUUACCAUACAGCGCUGGAAGGUGGCAGGUGCAUUGCAUAGCCCAAAUGGCAUCCUCCGGUAUGCGAAUGUUCCAAACGGGCACGUGAAGGUAGUUUUCUCCUGGUCCUCAGGUGCGAUAGCAAUCUGGAAAUAACCUGAAAAACCAUCCAAAAAACAAUAAUAAGCUCGACCUGCUAAUCGCUCUACCAUUUGAUCAAUAAAAGGAAGGGGAAAAUGAUCCUUUUUCAUGACGGCGUUCAAUUUCCUAUAAUCUAUGCACUGCCGCCACCCAGUGGGCUUCCGGACUGGCACGAGCUCACCCUCCUGAUUUGAUUCUACCGUCACCCCUGCCUUCUUUGGGACCACCUGUACUGGACUUACCCAGGGGCUAUCUGAUAUAGCAAAAAUUAUCCCCACAUCCAGUAGUUUUAGGAUCUCUUUCUUCACUACCUCCAUCAUGAGAGGAUUCAAUCUCCUUUGAGCCUGCCGAAUAGGUCUAGCGCCCUCUUCGAGUCGAAUCCGAUGUGUACAUACCGCGGGGCUAAUUCCCUUGAUAUCGGCGAUAGUCCAUCCUAUCGCCUGCUUAUGGUCCCUCAAAACUCUAAUCAAUUUGUCUUCUUGGACUGUUGAUAAACUGGCGGAGAUAAUCACUGGGAGUGUCUCCCCCUCGCCUAAGUACGCAUACUUUAGGUGUUUUGGCAGCGGUUUCAACUCUAAGACAGGCGCCUGCACCACAGAUGGAAGUAGCCUUUGGUGAGGUUCAGGUGUAAACACGGGUGCGAGGUCAUACCUUAUCUUUGUGGUUGGCAACGUCUGCAACGUUCCAAUCACACAUUUGAGCUCUUUACUCAACUCUAUCUCAGCGGUCAUCUCUGACUCGAAGUGCCUGGUCAAGGCAACUUCCAGCUCAUCCCUGCCUUCAAUUUCGAAAACUUCACGUACAGUAGAGUCAAUAGCAUUUAUAGAGAAGACAGAGCUAGCAUGUGAUUCUGACGGAUACUUCAUAGAUUCGAAAAUGUUAAAAUGAACAAUCUCACCAUCAAAUUCCAUAGAUAGGGUGCCCUUAUUAACAUCUAUUUUAGUUCGAGCUGUGCUUAAGAAGGGUCUACCUAAUAGUAAAGGUGAUAGGUCGUGAGAGUAUUCAUCAUCCAUAUCAAGCACGUAAAAAUCAGCAGGGAAAACCAAUUCAUUAAUUUUCACUAAAACAUCCUCAAUCAACCCGUCAGGGUAUGCAUUGGUCCGGUCAGCCAGUUGGAUUAUUAUUCCAGUGUCUUUCAGAGGUCCUAACUUCAACGAGGCAUAUAUAGACUUGGGCAUCACAUUAAUUGAGGCUCCUAGAUCUAACAUAGUCUUUCCAAUCAAGAUAUUUCCUAUUCUACAAGGAAUAGUGAACAUACCUGGGUCACCGCAUUUCGGUGGAAGCUUUCGUUGCAGGAUCGCUGACACAUUUUCUCCCACUACCACUCUCUCAUCUCCCUUCAAUCGCCUUCGAUUGACACACAGGUCCCUUAAAAAUUUUGCGUAUUUGGGUACCUGCUUAAUCGCAUCUAGAAGAGGAAUGUUGAUCUCCACUUUGCGAAAGAUCUCUAGGACCUCUUUCUCCUUGUCCUGCUUCCUUGGUUUCUCCAAUCUGCUUGGGAAGGGAGGUGGGUUGGAUCUAACUGGCAUGAGUGGGUCCGGGAUUACCUUUGAAUUUUUAUUGUCACCGCCCUCCUCUUCCAGCUCUUUUUCAAUUCGAUUUUCGUCCUUGUCCUUAGGAAUCAUCGGGUCAGGUCCUUGGACCUCCUUGCCACUUCUCAAGGUCAUGGCGCUAACAUUCUUCGGGUUUAAUUCGGGCUGAGACGGCAAUUUACCUUGGUUUUGGGAAUCCAAACGAUUGAUUGUUAUGGCCAUUUGACUUAUCUGAUUCCUCAUGUCCUGCAUUUCAGAGUCCGUCCUCUGCUGAUUUUGCGUGAGGGUUGCCAUCACUUGUUUCAUCAUCUCCUCCAAAGAUGGACCAGAUCUUGGGGGCGGAGGUGGUCGGGGUUGGUACUGCUGCUGGUACCCUGGUGGCUUAUUUGGCACGAAAUUAGACUGCCUGUUCGGUGUAUAGUUGGGCUGCCUAUUUCCUCCAUAGCUGAGAUUUGGGUGGUCCUUCCAGCCGGGAUUGUACGUAUUCGAGUACGGGUCAUAGGCUCUUCUUGGCGCGGGCGCGUGGCCAGCCAUGUUCACCUGUUCUGCAGUUUCUUCCUGAAGCAUUGGGCACAUGUCUGCAGAGUGUCCCAUACCAGUGCAAAUCCCGCACACCCUGGCCUGAGUUGCUCUCUCUACAGCCAGUUGCCUCACAAACGAGGUCAACUCAGUUAGCUGCUGCUGGACAGAUGGUGUCUCUAUCUCGUUCACCUUGCGUAUUGGGACAUCCUCUCUCGUACCGAAUUGUUGUGAAUUUUCUGCCAUCCCCUCUAUUAGCUCCCGUGCUUCCUGAGGGGUCUUGUUCACCAGUGCCCCUCCACUUGCAGCAUCAAUUAUGCUCCUGUCUCUGAAUAGGAGCCCCUCAUAAAAAUACUGAAUGAGCAACUGCUCACUUAUCUGGUGCUGGGGACACUUGUGUAACAAGUUCUUGAACCGUUCCCAAUACUCAUAGAGUGAUUCUCCUGGAUGUUGCUUGAUCCCGCAGAUUUCUUUCCUUAGGCUUGCAGCCCUGGAUGCAGGAAAAUAUUUAUCUAAAAAUUUUUUCUUCAAUUGGUCCCACGUGGUGAUGCUACCUGGUGACAGGUAGUACAGCCAGUCCUUCGCAGAAUCUUUCAGGGAGAAGGGGAACGCCCUCAUUUUUAUCUGCUCUUCAGUGAUCCCCGGGGGUUUCAUACUAUUGCACACGACAUCAAACUCCUGCAGAUGCUUAUACGGCUCCUCACCUGGUAAGCCAUGAAAAGAAGGUAAAAGAUGAAUUAGACCUGAUUUCAAUUCAAAGGAAGUGUUAUCACUCAAACUCGGGAAAGUAAUGCAUAAAGGCUGCUGAUUUAAAUCAGGAGCAGCCAACUCCCUUAAUGUUCGUGCAUUAGCCAUGAGAAUUUCUUCUUGCUCUGAGUCACUCGAAGAAUCACCAAAUGAAUCUGUUGGUUCAACUUCUGACUCAGGUCUCUGAGAUGUAGCACUGGAGUGCUCCUCUCUGAGCUGUCUGGUCUCUUUCCUUAUCCUACGCGCAGUCUUCCCUACCUCAGGGUCAAAAACCAAAUUACCUGUACGAGAAGACCGAGGCAUACACUAGAAAAAAUACCAGAAAAUUAGAGCGAAAAUGAACGUAAUAAAGAAACAAAUAAUGACGCCAGUCCCCGGCAACGGCGCCAAAAAUUGACAGGUCGUCAGCCUGUGCAAUAAUAAUAAUAAAUAUAGAACCUAAAUACCACUAAAAGCAGUCAACAAUCAAUCCUAGGUACUGGAGCAGGGACUCUAGGUGUGCAAUGGGUUACUUGAUUCACCCUGUUCCCGAAGAGUUUGCUUAACCCGAUAUACCAGAAUUAAUUAAUUGACAAAAAUUACUAAAUAGUAGACAGUGGCAAGUAGGGUCGUCUCCUCAGGGACUGGGGAUAUCUGUCUCUUUUUAAAGUCCAAUUGAUAAGGGGGGAUUUCACCGGAAUGAAACUAAAAAUAAUUAAACAAUUUAAUUAAAAAUAAAUAAAUCACUAGCACAAGUAAAACAGGAAUUAAAUCAAGAAUAAAUAAAUUCUAACCAAGGAUACAACUACUCAGGCACAGUCCAAUCAUCCGAUCAUUGAUGCAAGAGAGGUUCACUUAAUGUAUUAAUAGGCUAGUUAUAGUCUGACGACCAAUUUUUCCUUAAAUUAUAGAUGACCAAGGUACGACCAUUAAUCACCUCUAACCAGAAAAGUACUCCUAGGUACGACCGUAUGAAUUAAUUUUCCAAUUGCAUUAAUAACUAGAAAAACCUAGCCCUAAUCAAUAACACGCUAUGAGGGUUAUUUAAAUUAGAUUGCACGUUCCCCUAAUGUGUAAACACACCAGUUGCCACUAACAUUAAUCAAUCAAACAAUUACGGAUUUAAUUGACUAAAUUGGCACGAGAUUAAUAAAUCACAUUGAACAUCGGGCCCUUGACAUCCAAUUAAUAAAAUAAUCCCAUGAAAAUUCAAGCAGAUAACGUGCAAAUAUUAAUAAAUAAAGGAACACGUGAAAACUAAUUAGAUCUCACAGAUUUUCGGGACUGCGCCGUCGAGUUGACCCUUGACUAGAUGGAAGAUUUAGCCACGCCGCAUAAUUAAAUCACCACACGAAUUAAUGGAUUGCAAAGGCAUAGCGUUUUCUAUUAAGAAGUAAGGAAUAAAAGGUGUUUUUCCCGUUGGGAAAUUUUGUCGAACACCUGGCGUGUGUCAGAGGCCAGUCAAAAGAAGGAAAAACUUAAAACUACACUAAAAGCCUAAAAACUAGAGAUGUCCCUGCUACUCUACGUUAUCUCUAUUUAAGCAAUAAAAGAAAGAUGGCUAAAGGCUAUCUAGGUGGUCCCCACACAUGUGGACAAAACCUUCAAAGUACUUCCUUCCCCCAAGUCUCUUUCCAUAGCUUCCUUUUAAGAGCCCAAAGGAAUAGAUGCCUUCCACUAGCUUGUGGUCCCCCACCAAUUCAAGGGCCCAAGAAUUGAAGCCCUUAGAAGUCUCCCUAUUUUCCAUAAAGUCCUUCCUUUUUGAUGGUUUUCUACUUCAUUCCUGAAAUUAAUUCCAGAUACCAAAUAUGAGUAAAUAUCAGCAAUUAACACAAUAUUUAUCAGGGAUAAAAGGGGAAAUCAAUAAUAAAAUUACUAACAAAUUGUACCCUAUCAGGAGCGCAACUUACCAGGAAAAAGCUUAAGUCUUGAGUGAUAAAGUAAGACUUUUUGCCCUACGACAAACGACUUUCUCGAAACUUGUUGAUCAUGGAAAACUUUGCUUUUCUCCUUAUAAAUUGCGGAAUUCUCAUAGGCUUCAUUCCUUAGCUCUUCCAACUCUUGUAAUUGGAGCUUUCUGUGUCCUCCGGCCUCCAUGAGAUCCAUGUUGCACCGCUUGAGCGCCCAGAAUGCCUUGUGUUCAAAUUCUACUGGUAAGUGGCACGGCUUCCCAAAGACUAACCUGUAAGGAGACAUUCCAAUUGGCGUUUUAUACGCAGUGCGGUAAGCCCAGAGAGCGUCUUCCAAUUUCACACUCCAAUCCUUUCUAUCAGGCCUCACCAUCUUCUCCAGGAUCGACUUAACCUCUCUAUUCGAUAUUUCGGCCUGACCAUUCGUUUGGGGAUGGUAGGGAGUGGACACUUUGUGGAGCACACCAUACUUACGAAACAAGGCGGUGAUCGUUUUAUUGCAAAAGUGGGUGCCCCUAUCACUCACUAUGGCUCGCGGCAUUCCAAAACGGACGAAAAUGUUAGAUCUUAUAAAAUCUGCAACCACUCUAGAAUCAUUAAUCCGGGUGGCUUUUGCCUCCACCCAUUUGGAAACAUAGUCAACAGCAAGUAUAAUGUACAAGAAACCAAAAGACGAGGGGAAGGGACCCAUGAAAUCUAUACCCCAGACAUCAAAAAUCUCAACAAAUAAUAUGGGGGUUUGACUCAUUUGGUCUCUUCGAGAGAUAUUCCCCACCCUUUGACACUUAUCACAAGAUUUGCAAAACAAAUAUGCAUCCCUAAACAAAGUAGGCCAAUAAAAACCACUUUCUAGCACUUUACGAGCUGUCCUCUUUGGACCAAAAUGCCCUCCACAUGCAAACGAAUGGCAGAAAGUCAAAAUAGAGUGAAACUCACCUGCACUUACACACCUUCUUAUAACUUGGUCUGAACAUUGCCUCCACAGGUAGGGGUCAUCCCAAAGGUAGUGUUUGGCAUCACUCUUUAACUUAUCCCUUUUAGCUUUUGACCACCCUGCAGGUAAUUGAUUUGUUACCAAAAAAUUAACAAUGUCCGCGUACCAAGGUAUUGACGAAUCAAUGGCUAGAAGUUGCUCCUCAGGGAAUGACUCUCUCAACGGUAGAUCAUCUUGAUUUGUGAGCAACCGGCUCAAAUGAUCAGCCACCAAAUUCUCAGCUCCACUCUUAUCCUUGAUUUCUAGGUCGAACUCCUGCAGGAGUAAAAUCCACCUGAUCAGUCUUGGUUUAGCAUCCUUCUUUGCCAGCAAGUACCUCAAGGCUGCAUGAUCAGAGAAAACUAUUACUUUUGCAUCCAAUAGAUAUGACCUAAAUUUUUCUAGUGCAAAAACAACAGCUAGUAAUUCUUUCUCCGUCGUGGAGUAAUUAAGUUGGGCUCCACUUAAGGCCCUCGACGCAUAAUAGAUCGCGUGUGGUGCUCUUCCAAUUCUUUGGCCCAACACGGCCCCCACGGCAUAGUCACUUGCGUCGCACAUAAUUUCAAACGGAAGGUUCCAAUCUGGGGGUUGAAUGACAGGCGGCGAUGUCAGUGACUCCUUCAAUUUAUCAAACGCCACCUUACAUUCACUUGUGAAAUCAAACGGCACGUCUUUCUGCAGUAGUUUGAACAGGGGUGCUCCGAUCUUCGAAAAGUCUUUGAUAAAGCUCCUAUAAAAACCUGCAUGACCCAAAAACGAACGCACUUCCCGGACACAUACGGGGUAAGGUAGAGCAGAAAUAAGGUCAAUUUUAGCUUUAUCUACCUCUAUGCCCUUAGCUGACACGACGUGCCCUAAGACAAUGCCAUGAUCUAUCAUAAAGUGACAUUUCUCCCAAUUAAGCACCAAAUUCGUUUCUAUACAUCUUUUCAGAAUUAAAGCCAGAUUCUCAAGGCAUUCAUCAAAACUGUCCCCGUACACACUAAAAUCAUCCAUGAAUACCUCAAUUAUUUUUUCCACAUAUUCUGAGAAAAUACUUACCAUGCACCUUUGAAAAGUUGCCGGAGCAUUGCAGAGACCGAAAGGCAUCCUGCGAUAAGCAAAUGUACCGAACGGGCAUGUGAAUGUAGUCUUCUCCUGGUCUUCCGGUGCUAUCGCGAUCUGAAAGUAACCUGAAAAACCAUCCAAGAAACAAUAGUAAACACGACCUGCCAAUCGUUCUACCAUCUGGUCAAUAAACGGGAGAGGGAAAUGGUCCUUUUUAGUCACAGAAUUGAGCUUCCGGUAAUCGAUGCACUGGCGCCAGCCAGUGGCUUUCCUGACCGGGACCAUAUCACCGUCCUGGUUCUCCUCCACGGUCACUCCCGCCUUUUUCGGGACUACCUGGACAGGACUCACCCAUGGGCUAUCCGAGAUAGCAAAAAUGAUCCCCACUUCUAGGAGUUUGAGUAUCUCCUUUUUCACAACUUCCAUCAUCAGGGGGUUCAAUCUUCUUUGAGCCUGUCUUACCGGCUUCGCAUCUUCCUCGAGUCGAAUUCGGUGCAUACAUAAGGAUGGACUUCUUCCCUUGAUAUCUGCUAUACUCCACCCAAUUGUCUCCUUAUGCUCCCUCAGGAUCCGCACUAGUUUGUCUUCUUGACUUGGAGACAGGUGUGCAGAGAUGAUUACCGGCAGUGUCUCCCGGUCUCCUAGGAAUGCGUACUUAAGAUGCUUCGGCAGAGGCUUUAAUUCUAACUCUGGUGCCUGCACAACUGAAGGAAGCAGCUUUGUUUGAGCCUCUGACAUAAAAAGUGAAGUAAGUUCAUACCUUGGGGAUACGGGUGGAAGUGAGUGUAAGGCUUCCACAGCAUGGAGCAAAUCUCCCCGUAGGUCCACAUCAGGAGUUACACCCAACUCCAGAUGCUUGACUAGAGCCACUUCCAAAGCGUUUUUGCCAUCUAAUUCGAAAAUUUCCUGCACAAAAGGCUCAAUAACGCUCAAAGCAAAGACCGAGUUAGAUUCUUCUGGAUACUUGAUCGCCUCAAAAAUAUUGAAAUUCACAGUUUCACCAUCAAAUUCCAUUGACAAAGUACCCUCAUUCACAUCUAUUUUAGUCCUGGCAGUGCUAAGAAAUGGUCUACCUAACAGGAUAGGUGACGGGUUUAAUGAUUUUUCAUCUCCCAUGUCCAAGAUAUAGAAAUCUGCAGGAAAGACCAAUUCAUUUACCUGAACCAAGACAUCUUCAACUAGCCCCUCUGGAUAUGCAUUUGUGCGAUCAGCUAGUUGGAUUAUGAUGGCUGUUUCUUUAAGUGGCCCAAGGUUUAGAGAAGCAAAAAUGGUCUUUGGCAUCACAUUGAUUGACGCCCCUAAAUCUAACAUUGCUUUCCUGAUCGGUGUAUUCCCUAUCUUACAGGAGAUCGUGAACAUACCUGGAUCUCCACACUUGGGUGGGAGCUUUCUUUGGAGCAUUGCUGACACAUUCUCUCCCACCGCUACUCUUUCGUCCCCUCUCAGUUUCCUCUUAUGGGUGCACAGAUCCUUGAGAAAUUUAGCAUAUUUAGGUAUCUGCUUGAUUGCAUCCAGUAAAGGGAUGUUAAUUUCCACCUUUCGGAACACAUCCAAAAGCUCUUUUUCCUUCUCUACCUUUUUUGUCUUCUCCAGCCUGCAAGGAAAAGGAGGUAAGUUAGAUUUAAUAGUGGGCGGAGAAGUGAAGGCUACCUUAGGAUCCUUGCGAAUACGCCCUUCCUCUUCAAUUUCCUUCUCUAUCUCCUCUUCAUUUUUGCUUUUUGAACUUUCCACUUUAGGCCCUUCCAGUUCCUUGCCACUCCUCAGCGUCAUGGCACUUACAUUCCUGAGAUUCACCUCGGGUUGCGAUGGUAGUUUCCCAUAAACGUGGGACUCCAAGCGGUUGAUGGCAGUUGCCAGUUGACUUAUUCGACCGUCUUGGUCCUUCUUGUCCGCUUUGGUGUCCUGCUGGAGCUGCGCGGUAUUCGCGGCCAAGGAUCUGAUCUCCUGUUGAAGCUGGGUAGUAGUCGUGGCCAGGUUAGUAGUAGUCGUGGCCGGGUUUUUGACUAGAUCCUCCAGGGAGCUCCCUGAAUUGGAGGACGAGGGUUGAGAUUUUGGUUGCCAUGGCUGGCUGAAUCCUGGUGGACGAUUUGGAAAUGAAUUUUGCUGCCUGUUCCCAUAACUAAGAUUGGGAUGGUCCCUCCAGCCCGGAUUGUACGUAUUGGAGUAUGGGUCGUACUGCCUGCGGGGCGCGGGCACGCCUCCGGCCAUGUUUACCUGUUCUGCCCCGUCCUUUUGCAAAAUGGGGCACGAGUCUGUGCAAUGGUCCAUGCUAGUGCAGAUUCCACAUACUUUCGCUCGCGGCAUGUCUCUCAUGGCUAAUUGCCUAACAACCGAUGUUAAUUCUGACAGUUGCUGCUGUAAGGAUGAAGUCUCUACCUCGUUGACUCUACGGGGAGGGUUGCUCUCACGGAAGCCAAAUUGCUGGGAGUUCUCUGCCAUGGCUUCGAUGAGCUCUCACGCUUCCCUCGGUGUCUUGUUUGCAAGUGCUCCCCCACUGGCAGCGUCAAUGAUACUCUUGUCUGUUGAUUGGAGCCCCUCAUAGAAGUAUUGGAUUAACAGUUGCUCACUAAUUUGAUGCUGUGGGCAUCUAGUGCACAACUUGUUAAACCUUUCCCAGUAUUCAUACAGGGACUCACCGGGAUAUUGUUUGAUGCCGCAAAUCUCCUUCCUCAAGCUUGCAGCCCGGGAUGCAGGGAAGAAUUUUUCCAAAAAUUUCUUCUUUAACUGUACCCAUGUGGUAAUACUACCCGCUGGUAGGUAGUAUAGCCAAUCCUUGAGAGAGAAGGGGAAAGCUCUAAGUCUUAUCUGCUCCUCAGUGACCCCAGGAGGUUUCAUGCUGGAGCAAACUACCUCGAACUCCUUGACAUGUUUGUGGGGUUCUUCGCCAGAGAGACCAUGGAAAGAAGGUAGAAGGUGAAUCAACCCCGACUUCAGCUCGAAAGCAGUAUUCUCUGCCAAAGUGGGGAAUGUGAUGCAUAAGGGCUGAUGAGUCAACUCCGGGGCAGCCAGUUCCCUCAAUGUUUGGGUGUUGGCCAUGCUUACUUCGUCUUCCGCUGAUUCGUCUGCAGCAAAUAAGUGCCUUUCUUUUUGUCUCUUGGUCUCUUGCCUCCGCCUACGCGCUGCCUUCUCAACCUCAGGAUCGUAUACCAAGUCACCUGUGCGAGAAGAACGGGGCAUAAACUAGCAAAAAUACCAAGAAAAAUAAAAUAAAAUAAAAAUAAAAUAAAAAUAAAAUAAAAACUAAAUUUGAAAAGAAACAAAUAAUUCAAAUGCCAACUCCCCGGCAACGGCGCCAAAAAUUGACAGGUGCCGAACCUGUGCAAUAAUAAUUACUAAAAAGUCCUAAUUACCACCUCAAUUAAAUAAUUAUAGAACAAAUCCAAGUACUGGAGCAGGGACCCUAGGUGUGCAAUGGGUUACUUGAUUCACCCUGUUCCCGAAGAGUUUGCUUGAUCCGAGAUACCGAUGUUGUCUAUAAAAAUACUAAUUUUGCGUACAAUGGCAAGUAGGGUCGAUUCCACAGGGAGCAGGUAGGAAAUUAUUUCUUUCCAAAUCAGCAGAGCAAAAUUUGGGGGAUUUUCAAUGGGAGAGGAAUAAAUAAAAUAAAAGUAAAAUAAAAACAAAGCGAACUAAAUUCAAAACCAACUCACAAAGCACAAUUAACUAAAAAUAGCAAUUAAUAAAAGUUCUACCCAAAGGAUCAACUGCUCAGGCACUGUCCAAUUAAAUGAUCAUCGAUGCAAAGAUAUUUCACCCAUUCAUCACUAGAUUGGUUAUAGCUAUCAAUAAGGUCUGACAACCAAUUCUUCCUUACCUUUUCGACAGUCAAGGUACGACCAUUGAUUGCUUCCCUAACCAGAUAACAACCCUAGGUACGACCUUAGGAAUUUAAUUACCCAAUUGCAUUAAAAUUAGAAGAACCCAACCCUAACCAAUAAACACGCUAAGAGGGUUUAUUUAAACUAGAUCUUGCAUUUCCCCAUCAUAAAACCAAUUAUGGUGGUUGCCACGGGGUGUUAACUAAAUGAACAAUUACGGAUUCUAUUUAAUUAACGUGGCAGCAGGCUAUUAAAUUAAAUCAAAUACCCGGCCGUUGAUAUUCAAUUAAUAAAAUACCCAUGAACAAUUAAUUCAGGAAAUGCACGAAUAGCAAUUAAUCGGAGGAAAUAAUGAAGAUUCGGUUAGAUCUCACAGAUAUUAUGGACCGCGCCUUCGCGUCAACCUUUGGGUAGAGGAGGAAAUUAGCCGCUCCUCAUCGUUUCAAUCCCGCGUGGUUUAAUUGACUUCAUUCAAUUAUUUGCCAAGGAAUUGGGAAAGGGAAAUUAACUGCAAUAACAACCGAAAAGGCCCUGCCUUCGUCCCUGCUUCGGAGUCCCAAUUACAAAGCCAAAGCUACGAAUGAACUGUCCAGCGGAAAAGUUGAAAGUCAACAGAGAAAGGGGCGUCUAGCGCCUGGGAAAAGGAAAAAAACUAAAGCUAGCGUUUUUUAUUCGAUGUCAAAAUUCCUAUCUAAUUUGCUGCCCCCGAAGAAACAAAAGCGAAGGGCGGCGUCUGACAAAAAGUAGCCAAAAAGAAAACUAAAGCUAACUCCCGAUUCUGAAUCUCUUUUUCCUUUUUAUAUGCAGUGCCGCCCAAGAGAAGUCAAGAAGCAAACAGACGUCUGGCCCAAUUGAUUGCAAAAGGUAUCUCCUUUGGAGUUUUGAUCCCACGCUCCGGGUUCACGUGGACCACGGUCCGUCUUUCGGUUUCGUCCACCUUCCAAGGCGUGGUCACGCCCUGGGACGACAAGUCUUCUGGAAAUUUUUCCCCGCGAUAUCUUUUUAAUGCUAACCACCUACAAUUCACACAAAUGUCAAAUAUGAGUGAAAUCCCCUUCUUUAGCACCAUGAAUAGCCAAAAUUAGGACAAGAUGACAGUGCAAAACGUGCCAAAUAACGGCUCUAUCAAGCAUGCUAAUGGUGGUGGGAAGCAAAACUUCAGCAUAGUUAAGAAUUGAUCAUUUUGACAUGAGUAGUUAGAAUUGCAAGAACAAUAAUACAAUCAAUGGGAAGGGCCAUAAACUUCAGCAUAUUCUCACGCCACGUUAAAAUUAAGAAACAAGAUGCAGAGUUGGGCGUGCAAGGUAAAUUUGGAGAGCACAUUGAAGUUUCCUCUGUUUAUGCAGCCUGACUUAAAGCCCCAGUUUGUAAGGUAGAGGGAUUCACUCGGAAGAAGAUCAGCAUCUCAAUCCAGUUAAAACACCGUGGUAGAUGGAAGCUAGCACUUGGAGUUUGAUUAGUAUCAAAAGCAUAUUCAAUGACCUAAUUUGCAUCUAAAUUCUAAAUACAUGCAGCUACCAAUAGAUUUCGGUUAGAUAGUCAUUAGCUUGACAUCUUUUCACACUGUUAAAGGACACUCUGAUUGUUAUCUGCAUCCAUGCAAGCCAUCUUGACAGUUAAGAGGUACUAACAUUUUCAACAUUUGCAGCUAGUUUGGGAGUUUUAGACAGAAAAGAAAAGAAGAGAAAGCUCAAGUCAUGAAAGAAAAGAAAAGAAGAGAUUUAGUUUUGAUAUUGUUUGGGAUUUUAGUAAAGAAAUAAAAUGAUAUUGGAUACAUAUGCCAAUAAAAUUUUGUUUAAUAGACAUUUAAGUAUAAAUUUGGUAUUUUAAACAAUUUCAGAAAGCUUGCUUCAACUCUGUUUUGUUGGAAAAGUAUUAUUAACUGUAAAUGCAUCCAAAAUCUUCUCAUUUUCUCUUUUUUUUUUUCCAUCACUCCACAACUCCCAAACAUCAUAAAAGAGCUAUAUUCUCUCACUUUCUUCUCAUUUCCUGUCAAAUCUAAGCUCCCAAACAAAGCAUUGGUCUCCACAUGAUUUACAAUUACCUAACUUAAGCUCCAGUGUGCAAAAUCUAAUAUCAAAGGAUGAAUUACGUAAAUGUAACUUCAACGUCUACCAAUCUUUUAUUUCCUUUCUUUCAUUACUACCUCCAUUUGCAGCACCCUUCAUAUUUGAAAUUUUGCAAUUUUUGACAGCUAUGGUGAAAAAAAAAUAAUGGCUCUAAUGUCACAACACAAAUUUUAUUUCCACAAUAAUUUUUUGCAUAAACUACUAAAUUUGCCCUUCUCAGGUCCAAAUGUAGUUUGGACGUAAUGCGUCAUUUUAACAAAAUUUGCUCGGAAAAUAAAUUUUGAGCUAUGGCAAUAUGAUUUGUCCUUGCUAUUGCUACUUAAGCAAACAAUGACUGCAAAUCAUUAGCUUGUCCUCCCUCAUCUAUUGAUACAUGUGUCAAAUAUCUUUAUCAUUCCAUUAUCCAAGAAUUAGAGUAAAAUAUAUGCUUUAGUUUGCUAUGAGGGACUCAAUCCGUGCAAACACAAACAUUAGAGUAAAAUAUAUGCUAUAGGAUAGUAAUUUUUUUGGAAUUUUUUUGUAGGAAAAUAGACUGUAGCACUUGUUUUAAUAUGAUGCGUAUGAGCUAAAAAUAUUAUUAGAAAAUGUGUCAAGAUAUAUUCUUGGAAAAAUCUGAAAAAAUUUUCUACAAAAGAAUACAAUCCAAACAAGGUCUAAAGAUGCCUAACUGACAAGUAAGCUUCUUUUUUUUUUUUUUUUCUCAGAAACAACAAAAGUUAUAUUGAUAAAAUCAGAACUUUACCCUUGUAGAGCAACGGUUCCGAGAGGCAAUACAAAGGUGUUAAACACCUUGAGAAUUAUUCAAUUCCUCAUCACUACAAAUACCUACUACAUAAGUACUAACAUAUUUACUUAUAUUGUCAUUUGCUAUAUCUAAACAAAAAGAGCAUUUUUGCAACAAAGAGCUUAAAUUGUUGAUGUCAUCCAUCAGAGUGGCCAGCCUAAUGUCUUUGGUUUUUCUGGGGAUUAAUACCACUUUGUCCCCCCAAACUUUGGACGAUUACCCACUUCAGUCCCUAAACUUCAAAAUGGGACACUUAAAUCCCUAAACUUAUACAUACCUCCCACUUGGAUAUGUAGUUUGAUAGAUAAUGGAGGUUCCUUGGUAUAUAAGUUCUAGAGUUUCCUAGCUCGAGGUCUCUGCUGUUUCCACACAUUUUUGGCACAAGCUCAAACUACUCUAAUGCUUCUUGUCUUAAUAUAACUACUGAAUGUUGAUAGCUUGAGCAGAGUCUAUUGGAAAACAACUAUGAAUAAUCUGGAGGGGUCGUGGUUUGGAGGCCUGAUGUUUUCUUUAUGGCUGUUUAGAUGGGUAGAACCUGAAAAGGAAGCACGGAGAGGAGCUAUAAUGGAUGUACCAUUAUCUAGGACGAACAAUGACAUUGUCCAUUGGGCUACAUCAAAAUCUAUAAUGCAAUCUUUAACAUAUUUCAGGUUUAAUCAUUUGAAGAAAUUGUAUCCACAGUCAGCAUUUUCGUGAUCAAUAUGUCAAAACCUACAUUGAUUUGUUGUUAAAGCAUCUUCAUUUACAUAUAUGCAUUACAGGGAGCUCAUCCUUCUAAUCUUUUAAAAAAAGGACUGGUCUCAGUAUUCCUCUGAAUCUGAAAGUAAACAUAAAGAAGUAUUCACAAUCUUCUUUGAUCUAAGACAAGGAUUUUCAGAUUCACAUUUCCCCCGUUCAUCUCUUCUUCCUUAAUCUCUUGAACCAAACUUCCAACAUGGCCCGGACAGCGAUGCACCUGAAUCAAUUCAAGAGUUGGAAUUUCCCCCAAACAAGAAGGAAGCUCCUCCAAGUUCAAGCAGCUUUCCAAAACCAAUUUCGGAAGACAGGGGAGAUGAUCACCGGAGCACGUCCACCUGACAAUGCACAACAAUUCCAAUUUCAAGAAUUUGAGUUUAGGGAACUCCCCUUCUUCCAUGUUCCAUAUUUCUUCCCCACCAGCUUUUGUACCCAGUAAUUUGAGAACCUCAAGAUUAGGUAGUCUUCCUAUUGAGGAAUCAUACUCCAGGGAAAUACUUCCAGGGUCAACUUUUUUAGAUUCAUGGGGAAACUGAACUCAUAAUCCUUCUCUUUCACACCCUAAAAAGACAGCUUCACUGACUCCAGUCGUCUCAGAAAGUCCAUUGCCACAAUCCUGUUCCAAUCCCCACAAGAUUUUUCUGUUUCAGCGAGACCGCAUUUCAGUUUGCGGAUAUUUGGAAACUUCUUCAUUAUCUUAUCCAUGCUUUGCCCCAAAUCAAGCUCAAGACAGUAAGAGCCAUCGAUGAGGUUCCCUGUUGAGCUUUGGGCCUAAAAUCACU
rnacentral:lncRNA from 1 species